UUCCCAUUCCUCGAUUCUCCUUUUGAUUCUCAUCUUACUUCCACUUGCUCUAUCCCAACAAGAAGCAAUUCAAGCAAUUAUCCAUCGUUUGGAUUCCAAAGCUCUAUCUCCUUCUAUUCAGGAAGCUGCAGCCAAGGCUCUUCUCCGGCGAUUGCUUCCCACUCAUGUUGAUAGCUUCGAGUUUCAGAUUGUUUCUAGGGUACCUUUUCUUUUCUUUCCAUUGAAUUUCGAAGACUAACUUUUCUGUCAGUUCUCAAAUCUCAAUUGCAUUUUUAGAGAAAUUUAAUUGGUUGUGCAAUGCAUCUUCAAGUUUUUCAUUCUUAUUUUCCCAAUUUCUCAAAACAACGAACACCAACUUGACCGCUUUUUCUGAUUUUGUAUUUGUCAAUAGGACGUUUGUGGUGGGGGAAGUUGCUUCUUGAUUAGUAAUUUCAAGUCCUCAAGUCGCAAUGGUGCAGAGAUACUGUAAGUUGCCUCUUUUAUGCAUAAAGAUUGCUCUCUGUGAUUGAUUUACUUACACCUUUUGUAUUUAUACGAGGAAAAUAACGAGUCUAUUUUUGGCCUUUUCAUUAUGAAAUGGUCAAAAUGCUUUAAUUGUUCAGAGGACGAUAUUGUCUUUGGGUGUAAUUUUGCGGAGGCUUUAAGAAAUGAAAUAAAGCAGAAUGCAAUUAAGGGAUAAACGUUAUUUCCUCUAAUCACCACUCCACUUUCCCCCAAAUAAAGAAAUACACUGAGAUAGGAAUAUGUUAGUAUAAGAUUUUACUGAUUUGUUUUUUUUUUUUUUUUUUGGGCAACCUUCUCAAGUAUUAGAGGCACUACGGCAGUUGAAAUUACAUCUGGCCUUUACUGGUACUUAAAAUAUUGGUGUGGUGCUCAUGUUUCCUGGGACAAGACUGGUGGAGUUCAAUUAGCUUCAAUUCCUAAACCAGGAUCUCUACCCUUUUUAAAGGGCAAUGGAGUUGUGAUUAAGCGACCAGUGCCAUGGAAUUAUUACCAAAAUGUUGUUACUUCAAGCUGUAAGUGUUGAUUUCUUAAUUGUGAUUUCAUUCAACCUCUAUCUCAAGUGAUUAGUAAUGUCUAGAAUGAAAAUGAUUUCUUUGUUACAUAAUGUAUAGAAGUUAAGCUAAAAUGAAGUUCAUUUGGUGAAUCUGAGGGAGAAAACUAGAUUGAGAAAGAUGAAUACCAUGCAUGUCUUCCCCCAGCCCCAUAAAAAACAUGAUGUGUAUAAGAAGGGAUAGAAAACUGCAUCAAUGACCUUCUGGAUAUCAAUCCGUGAAAUCAACAUCAUGCUCAUCACAAUUCUUUAGUCUUAUUGGUCUUUCAUCUCUUUAAAUGAUAAGUAUAUAUACAUUUAUGCUUACUAAAUUUUCCAAUUGCUUAUUUUUAUUGAGAUCACUUAGGUAUCACAUCUUUUUCUUUUUAAGUAAUGUAAGUGAUACUUUCAUUCAUUUUUCAGAUUCCUAUGUUUGGUGGGAUUGGGAAAGAUGGGAGAAAGAGAUAGACUGGAUGGCCCUCCAUGGAAUUAACCUUCCUUUGGCCUUCACUGGGCAAGAAUCAAUUUGGAGAAAUGUUUUCAGGGUGAGCAGUUACCGAUCCCUUAUUUUAUUAUAGGCGAAUCCAAACCACCUCAGCACCUCCUCGAAAUUCAAAUUUAUUCUAGGAUUGAGAUUUCAAAUAGGUUGGAAUUAGAGAAUAGAAAGAUUUCAAAUAGGAUGAACUGUACACAUUGUAGAGUUGAAUUGUUUUGCAACUUUUAUGUAUCCCCUUAUUCAAGGAUCUGGUUCUAAUGGAUUUAAAAGUUUUUAUUUUUCUAAUACUACUCUCCUUCCGUUUUGCAUAGGCAUUUGUCAUAAGCCUCCCCAUUUUCAGUUAUGUUUUCUUUUUGACUGUUCAAAAUCAUCCAUAAUAUUUGUAGAAGAAAGAAAUAUAUGUCAUGUUCAAGGAUACUAUUUCUCACUAAGAAUUUGCCUUCAUUCAUAAUUUUUCAGUCUCUGUGUUUCUUCUCUUUCAAAAUGGAGUUCUUAGGAUCACCUUUUGUUGGUAUUAUACUAUUAUCAUAUUUUUAGUUUCACUCGAAUGAGGCUACUUGUUUCCUUUACUUGUAGGAUUUCAACCUUGCCGUCAAAGAUUUGGACAAUUUCUUUGGUGGACCUGCUUUCCUUGCCUGGGCUCGCAUGGGAAAUCUACAUGGGUGAGUGACAUUAAUUGUUCUGGAAUAUUUUUGCCUAAAAAACAUGAAUUCACAAAGACAGUAUCAUCUAAAACAUGUCACUUUACCCAGUGCCUAUGUAUUCAGUCUUGACAUAUUGUCUAUAAUUUAUGCAUUUAUGCUACAUGUAAAUAUAGAAGCACUAUGAUAGAACCCGACUUCUCAGUUGGCAAUGGAAAAGGAUACAAUAUAGGAAAUACUGUGGCUAAUGAAAAAUACAGAAGAAAAAUAAAAGCUCCCUGUCGAAGACUCCCUCUCUCCCUCGGCUGCCUUCCUAUCUCUCAAGGAAUAACAGUAGGAUUCUUAUCACCAAAAUUCUCUGCCCUCUCCCUUCCUUCUCGUCUCUAUUUAUAUUUGCUCCCUCACUCCCCUGCCAUGGUGAUCGUGCGUCGGCACUCCAUUUCCUUGUGGUCCCCACUUGCAGUUGGUUACAUAACCAACUCCUCGUCCUUUUUCUCUUUCCUGUUUUUUCUCCUACUAUACUGGCGUAUGAUGGGUGGUCUAACACACUAAUGGAGUUCACAUCCGUAUAUAAGCGUUGUGCUUUAUUAAGUAUUACCAUUCUUGGGCUCUUGUUAAUGAGAAAAGCUUCUAGCUUGUGGAAGAUAAAAAUAGGGGAGGUUUGAUUUUUGGAGACAAUAAAGGUGUUACAAAUGAGCAUGAAGAUUUUGUUUAUUUUGUGUUGUCUGUGUGGUCCUCUACUAUGGAAAGUUAUAAGUUUAUAACUUAUAGUAUUACUUAACUAAUUUUAUAUGAUUAAUUGGAAAGAUUUUGUGCGGUGAUCUUUUGGCUCAGGGUAACCUGGUCAUUCUUACUUUUUCGUAUCGUUAUUUGUUGGUCGCAAUGUUUCUUAGGACAGGUGUAAAUCAGUUACCUAAACAUUAUUUCCAACUUAUACUAUGCAUUCUAAGAUGUCUACCAAAGAUAAUCCGGUUUUCAUUGAUGGUCUCAUCUUUUCUUUCUUUCAUUCAUAUACACUAACAUUUAUCUUACCAAAGGUGGGGUGGGCCUUUAUCGAAAAAUUGGUUGGAUCAACAAUUAGCUUUACAGAAACAGAUACUAUCCCGGAUGCGAGAGUUGGGGAUGACUCCAGGUUUGCUACUCCAAAUUAUUGGUUAUGGAAGUGUUCAAGUGAUGAUAAUUUAUCAUGACAUUUUGCUUGUAGACCCUUUUAUUUAACUGAGACUUUUUUUUCCUUUCUGGUUACAGUUCUACCAUCCUUCUCAGGAAAUGUCCCAGCAGGUUUGGUAGAGAUAUUUCCCUCGGCCAACAUAACUAAAUUAGGAAACUGGUAUCCCCUUCUAAUGCCCAUGUUAUGAGAUAUGUUUUAACUUGUAAUUCUUAUGUGUUUUUGUUAAAAUAUAAGAGGAUUAUAAGUUCUUUUUUCCCCCUUAAUAUAUUAACAUGAUUAAUUUCCAGUUUUCCACUUUUGAACCUAGGAAGACAUCCCAUUACUAAAUAUAAUUUCCAUGAAUUGAAGUUUUCCAUUUUAUUUUUCCCCUGUUAGGAAUUCAAUUGAUGCUGAUCCUAGUACAUGCUGCACAUACCUUCUCAAUCCGUCUGAUCCUCUAUUUGUCAAAAUUGGGGAGGCUUUUAUCAGACAACAGAUAAAAGGUCCACUUCCAUCUGUUUGCUUUGAGUUAACAGACAAAUAAUUUUGUCACCUGUGCUCUGAUCUAAAUAUAUCUUAUUUUUCGAAAAAAGUAGCAGUCCCUUGUGGAUAUUCAUAAUUUCUCUUGCCAAUAUCAUGCAGUUGCACACUCUUUGUCAUUGGUAUCUCAUUAUGCACAAUUGUCACUAUGUCAAGAGAACAAUCAGUGUUUAUUUAUUUAGUUAAAACUAGAAAGUAAGGGACUAUUUUAAUAAACCCUUUUCUUUUUGUUAUUGGAAUUGUUGAAAAUUUGUUAUUGGAUCGGAUGAAUAGUAAAAGUUAACAUCAUUGUGCACGUUAAAGUUACUAUUCGUGAUUUUUGAAAUGAUAACAAGGAAAACAUACUAUGGAGGAAAAUAUCAUACAAAGAAACAAUUAGCAAUUAAGAGGCAAUUACAAAUGUGAGAAAAUAAAAUAUACAAAAAGUGGCUGUACAUUAUAAUUUGACAAAGAGUAUUUUGAGACUAGUUUUCAAACAAAUCCUUACCAUCUAAUUUUAUACUCGGUGCCCCUGUCUGUGUUGUAUAAAAGGAUGCAUUUGGUAGGACAGCUAUAAUUUAUUUUGUUUGAUCGUAUGAUGCUUAAUUGCUUAUCAACUGACGGCUAAACUAUCAAUGUUAGCUUUAAGUCCGUUAAAAGUAUUUCAUUUUUAUAUUUGUUUUCACGCUAUUGGAAAUUUGGAUUUUUCUUAAAAGUUGUCAUAAUAUCUUCAAGGUAUGCAUGUACUAAUACUUUUGUUUUUCAUAUUUUAUGUAUUUUCUGCAGAGUAUGGGGACGUAACAAACAUUUACAGCUGGUAACAACUAAUGUAGCAUUGAAUAAUAUCUUUAUGACGUUUUUUUCUUGAUGUACAUCUCUCUUUUUGGUGGAUAAGCACUUUCCCUUUUGAUUAAGUCACUGUAAACUAUAUGGAGUGACGUGUUGAAACUUCACUUUUUGUACAAGAAAAGAGGUCAACCAAGAAGCUUUAUUUUGUACAAGAUUACAGAAGGUGUCAAAUUGAAGAAACUUGUCCUGAAAAAGAUCUGUAAUUUCAUUUGGUCCAUAAGUUCCACACCAGCCCUCUAGUGGGCACAGCUAGUCAGCUAACUUUCCCAUCAUGUUCCAACAGUUAAAAACUUAAGACCUUCAAGGAGCCAGUCAUCAACCUUUAGUAAAACUAUUCAUUCCAGCGAAGAACUAGAAGUAUUCCUUAUUUCCAAAUGAGGACCACUAGGCUUGUUUUUUAGGAACUUGUUAAAAUAAAGUACUAUAAUUUAAGAGGAGAAGAUCGUGCGAUAGGCGUUUAACCAAAUAAGAUCCAUCUUGUUUAUUUUCCAAGAUCCAAUGAUUAUUGCAAUAACUUGAUUGUGGUGGAAGCUCCUUCAUUUUCCUUAUUUAUUUUAUCUUGCUGCCUUAGAUAACUGAAUGAUAUGUAUUCUGUUCAUUGCAGUGAUACAUUCAAUGAAAAUACUCCACCUACAAAUGACACCUCAUAUAUUUCAUCACUUGGAGCUUCUGUCUAUAAAGCUAUGGUGAAAGCUGAUAAGGAUGCUGUGUGGCUCAUGCAAGUAUGCUCCUCAAGCAAUGAACAACAUAUUUCUUAUGGAUCAUGUUUCAACCAAAACUUUUGUAUAUACUUAAUUAAUUGACUAAAUAUGCCGGUAAAAUUUGGAAUGGUUUUCAGGGCAACAAAUAGGAAUUGAGGGUCAGUUCUAGGGUUGAGAACACUUUUAACUUUAGAAUAGAAAAACUACAGAAGUUUCACAUAUUUGAGUUAUUGAAUUGAAAAGUGACGGCGGAUAAGUUACAAUGUAAGCAAAUACUGAUAAGUGCUGUAUAACAAGAGAACUAUAAAAGAGCUUUGCUUGACAGCAGGCUGUAAUUAAAUGUCUUAGGAGAUGGUGAAAGAGAAGGUGGUAUUUGGGUGUAUCAUAUUUUGUAUAGAACGCGGACUUACAAAGUUGUGUUUAAAAAGUAAUUCCUACACGAUGGUUACUGAUAUAUGGUGUAUUUAGUCUGACUAUUCUGUAAUUGGAUGAGGAUGGUGUACUUUUGAUAAAAUGGUGGACAAUAUUCCUAUGGACCAAUUUGACAAUGGUUUUGUUUUGUUUACCUGUUUUCAAAAUUUUUGCUUGUAUUGUAAAAUUUUCUGUGUUAUUUUAAGAUAGAAAUCUGAGAUUUCAUUGAUAAAUGUAACUAUAGGAUUACUAUUGGUGAUUAACAAAAAAGAUUUCCAAUCAUUCAAAAGAGUAGAAUGAUCAGUCAACGGGUGUGGACAUUUAUACCAAUUUUAAGUAUUAAAAGAGUUUGUUUAAGGAAACUCUUGAAGAUUCUCCAUUUUGUUUCACACCAAAGUGACCAAAGAAAGAGCGAUCGAUAGCUUCCAAAUUUUCAGUCAGUCUUUUAUUUUCAAAAUCUUGUUUUUAUUUUCGAAAUUUAGCUUAAACUUGAAAUGUUAUUUUAAAAAAGUGAAAAAUGUAGGAAAACAACAGAAAGCCAAAAACAAAAGAACUAGACUCGGACUGUUUUUUUUAGGUUGAGUUUUCAGAAUAUUCAAAUCUCUAGGGUGUUUAUGCAAAUCAGAUUUACCAAAUUUUAAUUUGAUGAGUUUCGUUUUCUAUAUUUGAAUUAAAAUUGAUUGUUCCAUCUCUGUGCAGGGAUGGCUCUUCUAUUCAGACUCUGAUUUUUGGAAGCCUGAUCAAAUGAAAGUACGUAUGCGCACAAGCGACAUAGAAUUUCUUAACAUUCAUUGUUAAUUCUUACUGAGUUACUGGCAAAGGAUGUACUUGAUCUAAAUAGUCUCGCCCAGUCCCCACGUCUCUUGUUUAAAGUUGUACAGGCGUUUAGUUAUGUGGGAUAGUUGGAGUUUGUGAGUGGGAAUUGUUAAGUACCAGUGAGUACAAAUUAGGGGAGGGUAGGGAAAUGAGGUUAGGAAAUAUUUUUGUACAUAGAAAGAGAUACCGUUCCUGCUUGAAAAUAUUGGUACUUCUCAAAUGGUUCCAAAAGUAAACCGUUCUUGAGAAUGAAUCUAGAGUUUGGAAUACUAUUGGAGUGUCAUUGUUUUCUGAUGGAAAUGAAGGAUGUCUUGGUAUCCAUGAAUUGGAAGAAAACAAUGGCCACAAAACCAACUUAGAGAAGCUCUAAAAGUAGGAUGAAUCAAACACAAGAAAUUAGAACCCAUCUGCUUGCAACAUGGGUUGAAGGGGUGGUUGAUGUCAAAGGUCUAAGCUAAAAAAAAAGGACUUAGUAUCUAUGGUCUACAGGUUUCUUAUUGCACCAAAAUGGUCUUUUUAAUAAAAAAGUUUACAGUUGGGUUACGUAAUCUAUUACCAAACUAUCAAAAUAACUCUUUUUCUGGCCUUUUGGUUGUCUCACAAUACCACUUAUUAGCUAUGGUUUUAUGGGGUUUGCAGGCACUACUUCACUCAGUCCCAUUUGGGAAAAUGAUUGUUCUUGAUCUAUUUGCGGAUGUCAAGCCAAUUUGGAAAUCAUCAUCUCAAUUUUAUGGUACACCCUACGUAUGGUCAGUAACCUCUUUAUUACCGUUUUCAAGGAAGCUAUGGAACGUCUCGAUAAUGUCAUUUCUGUACUUUUUUUUUCACAAGUUCAAUAAGAAUUUAGUUUGACUUCAGGUGUAUGUUGCAUAACUUCGGUGGAAAUAUAGAAAUGUAUGGUAUAUUGGAUGCAAUCUCUUCAGGUCCAGUCGAUGCUCUUGCAAGUGAAAAUUCAACAAUGGUACAUUUAGUUUUGUAUUGUAUAAUUUACUGUUGUCAUAUAUACGUGAUGCAUGUAGCACAUAAACUCCUAUGAACAUGCAGCUAACUAAUAUUUCUAAAAGAACAGACACUGUUUUCGUUUGCUGUAUGUCUUGUAGACCAUAGUUCUCUUUUUCUUGAUUAUCAAUGAAUUGUUUCUCUUACCAAAAAAAGAAUGGUUCUAUUUUUCUUGAUUAUCCCAUCCAUACAUGUGAACUAAGAUGUAAAGAUUGGGAGUCUUGAUAUUUUAUCCUGUUACAAAUGGUGUUUUCUCCACUAUGGUAGGUUGGUGUUGGCAUGUGUAUGGAAGGAAUAGAGCAUAAUCCGGUUGUUUACGAAUUGAUGUCUGAAAUGGCAUUUCGCAGCAAAAAAGUUCAAGUCCAGGUAAUUUGCCCCCAAUGCCUUUAUAUAGUCGAGGUGUUCUUGAUGUUUAGCGAUUCAAAGCAUUAUGCAAUGGUUGGGCAUGUAAGCACAACCUAAGCUGGUGCCCUCGAACAAUCUAUAAUCCUGCUUAUUAGAAGACUCUAUACAUGAAUAUCAUUUGUUCGUUUAUAAACUAUAACUGGAGUGUAUUUUCUGGAAUCAAACAAAUUGUUCUUUUGAUCAAAUUUAUGUUUUUGUGUGUACUUGUAUGUUGCAAUCUGCAUGAUUCAGUGAGAGAAUUUGAGGGAAUUAUAGAGAAUGACAUGGUUCAGAGCCGUGUCUUAACAACCAGGAGACAAAAAUGUGAAGAACCACAAUAUCUUAAUUUGAUAGAAAAAUUGCAAUAAUUUUAAAGAUGAAGAUUCAUUCAAAUUUUAUCAUAUCAUGGAAGAGUGUCAUCUUGUAUCUACUUCUCAUAUUAUUCAUCCAUGACUUGUUUUUGAAAUUAAGCAGUUCUAAACAUUUACAAUAAUGAGUCCAUGUUCUUACAUUGUUACAAAUUUGAUUUUUCCAUAUAAUUGGAUUUUUAUUAACGUCUAUAAAAUAACUCUAUGAUGGAGAUGAUGCUGACCAUAAUGAAAUAUUGUAAUAUCUUGUAGGAGUGGUUGAAGACCUAUUCCCGUUGUCGUUACGGCAAAGCAGAUCAUUAUGUUGAUGCAGCUUGGAAUAUUCUUUAUCAUACAAUUUACAAUUGCACUGAUGGCAUUGCGGUAUGUCAAGUUGAGACAUAAUGUUCAGAAAAGAAAAUUGUUUUGUAUAAUUAUAAGAAAUAACUUUGAACAUUCUAAAAAAGCUUUAAAAGUAUUUUUAGCAAGAUAACUUAAUUAAUGUUUUUCCCAAUGUCAUCCAAACACAUUAUGAGUAAAUUCUGCUGUUUUUUAAAUUAUGGAAAUUGGUAGCUUUGCCUAAAAGUGCCAUCAAAAUUACGUAAGUUUUUAGACCGCUACUAUUUCUAAUUCAAGAGAAUCAAUUGGUUAACACAGGAUGAAUGUACCCUCCAAUUUUUUCUUUACUGGAUGCGUUUCAUUUGGUGAUUAUUGCUUGAAGAUUUAUUAUAAGCGAGAAAUGCCCAACUGCAGAAUUGAGUUUUAUGAAAUUAUUGUGUUCUUUUUUCUGCUUUAUGGCUAUUUACUGAUCCGUUCCUUUAAUUUUUUUUCCAGAACCAUAACACUGAUUUCAUUGUCAAACUGCCUGAUUGGGAUCCAUCUUCAACUUUUGAUCUGAAAAAACCGCCACAUCUAUGGUAUUCCACUCAGGAGGUUAUCAAUGCCUUGCAGCUACUUGUUAAUGUAGACGAUAAUCUCGUCCACAGCGCUACAUAUAGGUAAGAUGGCACAUUUUCAUAUGCAUAUGAUCGAGUCUUAAGGAUGAGGAGUUAGUAUGUUUUACAAUACAGUUCUAGUCAACCACUUCACAAGUUUCAGAUAAGUUUCUAAGCAACAUGUUCAUAGAGAAGCGUUAUACGAGCCUCAUUCUGAAGAUAUGAUCAGUUAGUUUACUCUAUUGUUGCUUGUAAUUGAACAGAUAUGACUUGGUUGACUUAACACGGCAAGUGCUAGGGAAACUGGCAAAUGAAGAAUAUUUGAAGGCUGUAACUGCUUUCCGACGCCAGAAUGUGAAGGCUCAAAAUCUUCACAGCAAGAGGUUUAUUCAAUUAAUUAGAGAUAUUGACAAACUACUAGCUUCUAAUUCAAACUUUCUGCUCGGAACAUGGCUUGAAAGUGCAAAGAAGUUGGCAACAAAUCCAGCUGAGAUGAAGCAGGUUAGGAAUUGCCUCUUUCUAAUGGCAUGAAACUUACAGCAUACUGCUACUCUUUUCUUAUCAACCUUUCCAUUUGCUAACCUUUGUUUUAAAAAGUAUGCUUACUUCCCUUCAUUUUAUUAUAUUUGCUAUUACGGUAAAUUCUUAGCAAAUUUUGAAAACAAAAAAGAAUCUCUUUUAAUUUGGCCUACAUAUUCAAAACAUUUUUUAAAAAAGUAGACACAGCUAAGAAACACGGAAGUGGAAGUAACAUUUGUAAUCUAAAAAUCCAAAAAUGACCAUAUCGACUUUUUUUCUGCAUUCUAUUUGACAAGAUCUCCUUUUUUUUUCCUUCUAAUUUAAUCUUAUUUAUGAAUUUGUUACUGUUUUUUAUUCUCUCUCUCUCUGUAUAUAUAUCGGUUGUCAUUCUACAGCAUUUCUUUUCUUGGUCAAAUUUAUUUAACCUUUUGAAAGCUCUUUCGAUAGUGAAACUCUAAUAUUGGAUUGGUACUUUAUUAAAAGCAACAUUUUCUUAUUGUUGCAAUAGCAUGUCUUGUUUUCCAUUUUAUAAGUUGAUUAUGAAAAGCAAGCUCCAAAUUUUCUAUCCUUGGUUCAGUAUGAAUGGAAUGCAAGAACACAAGUAACUAUGUGGUAUGAUAACACAAAAGUCAAUCAGAGCAAACUUCAUGAUUAUGGUAAAUAUUACAUUUCAAUCCUGCUAUAACAUGUUAUUCUCCCUAUUUUCCCUAAUUCAAAUUAACAUGUUUUGUGCUUCUUAUCAGCAAAUAAGUACUGGAGUGGGCUACUGGAAGGUUACUAUCUCCCAAGAGCUUUGACCUACUUUUAUUACCUAUCAAAAAGCUUGAGAAAAAAUGAGAGCUUCCAUUUGGAAGACUGGAGAAGAGAAUGGAUACUGUUUUCAAACAAAUGGCAAGCUGCUUCAGAGCUUUACCCAGUUAAAGCUGAAGGAAAUGCAGUUGCUAUUUCUAAAGCCUUGUAUGAAAAGUACUUUGAUUGAAACAAUUUCUCAAUGUUCUACCAAAAGCAAACAUGGUAUGACCAUUUCAAUUCUUAGUUUUUUUCCUCUUUCCAAUAUCAAAGAUUAUUGAUGGUCCCUUGCCAGUUGUUUCUGUUUUGCAAUGAGACCCCUUUAUGUACUCUAAUGUUCCGUCUCUGUUUCCAAUAAUCUGUCAUAAUAUCAUUAGUCCAUGUCAAAGAUGAUUCUUUCUAUAAUUUUUGAAUCUUCAUAGCUCUCAAGUAUCUUUCAUCAUGUAAGUAUCUAUGUUCGGCAAAUUGAAAGGAAAACAAUAUACAACACUUGGGUAUUUCCUUUGAACUACCUCUACAAAAAUUUGAAUGUGAAAAAAGAAUUUAACCCAAAAAAGAAAAACUUGAGGAAAUGAUAUGGCUGCAAAUUGCACUAUCAUUUAUACAUUCAGAUUUCGAGUAUUUUCAAUUCUUAUACCAGCUCUUUCAGUAGCGGGUCGCCUGCAGCCAUAAGCCUCAUAAGCUCAGCAAAUUCCACUUCAUUGGAAACCCGCCAUGGAUGAACAGCAGGAACUUCAGCAGCAUACAAGUUUGUAACAUUACUCAACAGUUCCUCUGCCGGUAUCUUCUUAUAAACCAUUCUGCUGAAAAUGUCGUCGAAAUUUAGGGGUGAAUCCAUUGCCAUGAAGAACAUUGCCACAGCUACUCUGUAAUCAAUCUUGUAGUUACCAACAAGAGCUACAAGAUCCGUGAAGUCUCCCACAAACAUCCGAGGUACGUAAAACACUUCACUGUUGCAAAUUGUGAGUCCUUGCUCGGUUGGGUUACUUUCCUUAUAGUUGACUUGAAAAUGAACAGGCAUUGUGCUCACUACCUUCUUCACCCAGUCUGCUUGUUUAGCAAACAAGACAGAAUCAUCACUGACUCUGGUCCAAGAUUGAGGGACCUGUGAGAAAGAGAAACAAUUAUAGAACUCUUCAACUCUUCUACAAAGCAAGAGAGAUACAACUGAGACCUGCAUCAUACCUUGUAAGUGAUCCAAAGUUUAUCUUUAUCUGCUUGCAGUAAAUUCCAAUAGUUGAGAAUGGUGUUAUCUUGGAGGAACAAGAAUCCUUCUGCAUUAGGAAAUCUUUCAAAUACCAUGGGCAGGUACCUAUAAAAAGAGAAUUAAUUUGUUGAAUUUAUCAUUCAUGAACUUUUCUAAAUAAAUAUUUAGUCAUUCAUUUUAAUUAAGAAUCCUUUCUUUUUAAUCUGUCAUCAAACUAAACCUGACUAAAAAAGAGUAUACAGACAUUAAACAUAUUGUAGGCAAAAUGACCAAUACCCCGUUUUCCCAUUAUUUGAAUCUAUUUGGUGUAUAAACAUCAUAUCACUAUUUUUUUAUGUAUUUAUAUCAGUUUUUAAAUAGAUUCUUGCAACUUUUAUUUAUCUUAUUUUGUAAUUUGUGUUAUCAAAAAUAAUUCUACUAACUUACCACAUAUAUUAAAUAGUUUCUCUUAAAAGUGGUACUCUACAUCUAUACUUCGACUAAAUAAAUAUAAUAGUUUGUAACUAAAUUACAAAAGAAAAGGCUCUUGUACAUGAACUUAAAAUUCCUUUUGCAAAACACCAUUAGAUUAACAUUUAGAGCUAUAUGUUUUAGAGCCUUGUAUGAAAAGUAAUUUGAUUGAAACAAUUAUUUAAAAAUCAAAAUGAACAACUUUUUAUUUAAAAGAAUCAAAAUGAAUAAACUGUUACGAAUUGUAGUUACAAAGAAUAAAUUAUAAAUUGUUACAAUUUUGAAAAUGAAGGGACGAAAUUGUUUUUUAGGCAUUGGGACCAAAUUCUUAUUAGACUAAAUUUCUAUUUGGGUUAUUUUUUAAAUAAAAUAAAAUAAACCAAAACAUUUAUAAAAUAGGACAAAAAAAAUUUAGUUAGAUACCGCAAUAGAUUAAAAUAGACUAUUAUUUGUAUCAUAAUAAAUACAUAUAUUAGUCUAUUUUGGUCUUUUUAGGUUUUUGUUAUAUUUUUGCUAUAUUUAUAAGUAAUUUUACUAAUUUUUUAUUUAAAAUAAAUUUUCUAGUUAUUUUAUCAGAAAUGAUAAAAAUUGGAAACUACUUACUUGUAUAUGAACUCCAAAGAAAUUAAGAAAUCACUAAAAAAAAUUAAAUGAAGAAGAAUUUUCCACAUAAUUUUUCGUGUUGGAAAUUACUUACUUGUAUAUAAACUCCAAAGAAGCUUCCUCCACUCCCAAAUCUUCCCUGCCAUGUUCUGCCACAACCACCACAGUUUUGAAAAUCCUUCCAUAAAGCAAUUUCCAUUUCAUGGCAGUUCUCUCCACAUCUCCAUUUUCAACAAACAAAACCAUCACCACAUUACCAAAUUUCUUCCUCCAUCUAAUCAACUUCCCUAUCUCAAAGUUCACAGUCUCAGAUUCUUCCACCCCAAGAUGAAAACCAGGCAAUUUUUUAGGAACAAAACUCCUUCCAUCACCAAUCCUUCUUUUCCUCUGUUUCUUCAUUUCAAAUCCCUUCAUUCUUGGUUGAAUAUACCCAACAGAAAUCAAAUCUUGAAGCCAAGCUCCAAUCAGUUUCACAUCGUUCUCCUUCCAAAACCCUUCCUCUUCCAUUGAAUUACUCAAUUCCAUUACCUUCUCAAAGAACGUGGCUUUGUUUGAUGUCCAUGAACUCAAGAACUUCACCAAUCUCCCUACAUUCACAUGCAAGUCUUUCUCUUCUGAAAAUGGAUAUCCUUCAAUGUCAUCAUAUCUAAACAUUGUCGGUGGAUAAACCGCUACGAAACCUCCUAAUUCCCAUAAAAGUCUUUGUGCCCAAUAACCCCUCAAUAUAUCACAAGCCAUUGUACUAACAGAAACAGGAAGCAUAAGAGCCCAUAAUGCUGAAUUAUGAAACAAAGUAUUGAAAGAGUUUAAUGGUACCAUCACCCCGUGAGGUAUGGCGACUUUCGGUGCGUGGUCGUCGAAUCUUAUGUCGAAUGCCUGGGAACUUGUCUUUCGAGUGAAGUAAAACACCGAAUCUACAUCUGGUAAACCAUUGGAUAUGCCUUGUUGAAUGAACUGCAUUCCUCCAAAUACUUGGCUGUAAUGUUCUUCAUACAAAACAUCUCCUACAUUCUCCAAUGGCAGCCCUCUAGGCCAAACCGAUCGCUGUCCGAAAUGAAUAUAUGGAUUCACGACGGUUUUAUUCGGGUUCUCAAAAUCAAACUCCAAGAUUCUCUCCUGCAGUGUGUCUACAUUGGACAAUUUCAAAUCAAAAUGCUUCCCAAGAUCCCCAUCAAUCACUUCACCCCGAUCAUCUGCAUCGAAUAUCAUUUUCGCGCCAUGUUGGAUAGCGAAAAGAUAACCAACAGUCUUUCUAGCAUAAGAAUCAUAAGAAAGAAAAUCCACAACUCUAAAUCCUAAGCUAGAUUGUUCCUCUAGAGACAGGUAUAUAACUCCCUUAAGACUCCAAUCCGAUGGAGUUCUAGAAUUCCCCACAGCUAGUACCUGCCAUCCUCUGGUUUUCGCAAGCUUUCGAAGCGAAUCAGAAGGAUAACUCGAAACAGAAACAACAAUCCACCGAUCAGAGCUAAAGGAAGCGUAACUUGAGGAUUUAUCGACAAGGGGAUGAAUCGAAUCGAAGUUGAUUAUGGGCAAAUGGGUGAGUUGAGAGGGUUUAGGGCGAGAGUUGAAGCAGAGAAAUGCAGCAGAAUCGGGAGCUCCUCGGAGGAAGAAGAAGGAAGCGAUUGUGAGGGUAAGGAAGAAAAGGGUAGCGAGUUUGAAGAGAUUGAGAGAGACCCAGUUGGAGAAAUCGAAGGGUUUGGAUUCAGGGAAGGGAUUAGCGAGUGGGAUUUGAUGGGGUUUUGGGUUUUGACGAUCUUGAACCAACAUGGUAAGUACUAAAGUACUCAGGUUUUGAGCUCUGUGGAGUGAGUUUUGAACUCAGAGAGCCAAAAUAGAAAGCUCAAAAUGACUGAAAUGGAGAAGAAAACAAAAACAUAGGGAGUGAUCUUUGUGCGUUUCUUUCUUUCAUCUCAGAGCUCCAGCCGACAGUGGCCAACUGAUAAUGCAGACAGAAUUGGAUCAUUGAUGGGUUCUUUUUCUUUUUUUAAUUAAAAAGAAAUUAGUUUAUUUGAAAGGAACUGAAAAUGAAACAGAUGAAAGAUGAGGAUGAAGGAUGUUGAGGGGCAAAUGGAAAUAAUUGAAAAAAGUGAGUGAGGAUUUGCGAUUUGGACAGCCGCCCUUACCGACAGAGAGAGAAACUCUCGUGCUCUUUUUUUACUCAUCAUCUCAUUUCCUUUCCUUUCAUCCACACACUUCACAUACUUCAACUUCCUACUAUUAAAUUCAUAUAUAAUAUAUAAUUGUAAAGCCAACCAGGCCAUUCUUACCACCUACGACAACUAUUUAGUCUCAACUUUAUUUGAUUUGGUUUAUCAAAUUACUUAGACACCUUUUCAGGGAAUAUCAAGGUAGGAAGAUCAUCAUGGACUUGAUGACAAAUGACGUAACAUCCCAGUUUAAAGGGUUAAAAGAAUAUUUGGAAAAGACUUAAAAUAAUUGAAAAUCAUUAUCUAUACUAACAAAAUGCAAUUUUUUUUUUUCAACAACUCAAUCCUAAGGACUCCAAAGUGCAAUAUUUUCUUUCAACAACUUAAUUAUAAGUUAGUAUAAGUAUACAAGCAUGUGAGUUAAAACAAAGCAUCCUAAAAAGUUUUAUAUUAAGCCCUUAAAUGCCAAAGCAUCCUAAAAAGUUCUAUAUUCUAUAUUAAGCCGUUAAAUGCCAAAUCAAUCUAGGUAUGAGAUAUUACGAAUUAAUUAACCAUUUUACAUUUUGUGAGAUGCACCUUGUGUAACAAGUAAUGGUAUAAUACAACUUAUUAUGAAAGAGUUAAAUACAAAUAUGAUUUAGGACACAUGAUGUGACUAGUCUAUACAGCUUAACUAAUCUAUCCUAACCCUUAUACUUUUAUUCGGUUGGAGUCGACCCAAAUACGACCCCAUAGAAAUGGUUUAGAAUGAAAAUAAUGAAACAAAAGUUAAGUCAAGUAAUGAAACAAUAAGUAAUGUUGUUGAUUGGAGGGAGUAUCAAAAGUGUAAACACCGUUAAAAAGUGAUAGAUCAACUUCUUUCUUGUAUUAAAAGAUCAGUAACAAUACAAUUAGAAUAUCCAAUAUAUUUCCCCCCACCAAUUCCUCUAAGAACCUUUUUCAUCAACAAAUUAAUUUCUAGAACUAAAGUCCCAGAUUAAUAGUGAAUCCUUCCAACGAUUAGACAAAGUGGGCUGACCUUGAUUUCUAUGAACAUCUUCAUCUCUUUUAACUUUAUUUUUAUUUUUUUUACUCUAUCUCCCUGCUUCCUGCUUCCUGCUUCCGUUUACUUUCAUGCGUUCUUCUUCGUCGAUGUUGUCGGAUCUCGAAUCGAGUUCGGAAUCAAAUUCAUCUUCUCAUCAUCCCUUCCACCCACUCCCACUUGGCUUUCUUCAUCAUCUUUCAAAUUAGAUCUAUGUUCAUCAGCAUGUCGUCCAUGUAGUCAUAAAAUCGCUUCUUGGAUACCGAGCUUGCCGUUAAGGUACAAUUGUGUUGGAAGAUCACAUUUGUGAAGGCCUGAGACAGCCUCUGUUUGUGACAAAGACAAUGAUCCUGUUAGAGCUAAUAAGGGUUCUAACAAGAAUGAUUGGCCAUCACUUUUUCUCUCCUUAUCUUUCCUCAUUUCUUCCAACAAAGCAUUGCUUGUGUCUAUGCCUGUUUAGAUUGGUCAAUAAAAGAGAUUAUCAUCCGGAGAACAUAUGCUAGAAACAUGUAAUAAAGUUUCCAAUAAAAACAAAUUAAACAAGUUAAUUAGUAGGUGUUUCACAAACCUGCAAGAUAUCCACCAUGUACAUAGCCAUUAAAUCUUUCGCUUGUGUGUUCUCCAGUGAAGUAGAUGCGUCCAAUGGGUUCCUGGAAACGACACACCCAUAAAGGUUAGAUAUUUGACCUAACGUAGAAUUUGUGUUUCUAGUAUAAUUCAGACCUAGUUGACACAAGAGGUUAUGGUUCAUUUGAAUUUACUUACUAAGUUCUUAAAAACACUUUUUUCACACACCCGAGGAUUUAAACUUACUAACAAAGUAAAACUAACAAGUUUUACUACUCUAAACACACUACAUAAUUAAUUUGUCACGUAUUCAAGUUCGGUCCAUAUAUGCUUAUUUAAGGAAAUAUGUUAGUUGUGUGUGCUUGAAACAGUUUGGUGGUGGAAGCGGCUCUAUUCACAGGCUUCUACAUCAACAGCAAGUAUUUCUACUUUCGAAGUGGUUAGAGAGAUCAAUCAAUCAAUCAUGCAGUGAGUUACAAGUUAAAACUUGCACAUAGUGAAAUAGGCAAUGAACCUUAAUGUUUUGAACAACUUGGCAAUCGGAGAUGAUGGGGUAGUUACUGUAGCUACCACGUUGAAACCUGUUACUCCACCAGCGAGGAACGAGUAUGUCAGUAGCAUCAGGGAUAUCUGGUCCAAACAUAUCCCUAAGCACUUCCAUGGAUUCUUUCAUUGUCUCUUCAUCAGAUUGAGCUUCGACUCUUUUCGAUUCUCCAUUUGUAACGGUCACCACCAGGAUAUUGGACCCAGGAUAGGCGUUCUCCAUGUUCUGAUGUUAUCAUAAGAUAGUCAGUUUCACAGUAGUUUGAUUAUUAAUCCAUAGCAUGUCAUAGUAGAAUGAUCGAGUAGCAAAUGCCAUAACAUUGUCAGACUGGAGUCAUGGAAAUACACAAUACGUACUCCGCCAAUCAAACAAAUUGAUAUCCUUAUAUUAUUAUAGUUCCAUCAUUCAAGAUUUAGUGUUCGUGGACAGAUAUUGACAGCUGCGGUAGCUGACAACUGUAUCAACAAUAAAAUGGAAAAGAAUUAAGCAUAAAAGAGACUGCCAAAAUUUUAUCUUCGAGAAACUUAAGCACCGUAAAAAAUCCUGCAUCCUAGUACAGGUCGAUAAAGUCGAAUAAUGAAGGUGUUCUCAAUCACCCAUUAAAACAAGAUAAUCAUAAUAAUCAAUUGUUCAAGAAUUACUGGUAUUGAAUCAUCUACAAUAGAGAUAGUAAUAAAUGCCUUUAUCUGACGAGUUAAUCUUGAAUUGAGCUUAUUAUAGCUCUUAAUAUAAAAUAAUAUGAUAUAAAUUAUAUUAUCCCAUGUUGUAUUUUAAUGUGUAGAUUUGUGAUUUGAGAAAAGUAUUUUAAAAUUUUGAAUCCACAUACUAAAUAUAGAUAGUUGACAACUCAAAACUAAAUCAAUCUAACUAGAGGGUCCAACGCGAUGACAUCCGUAUUCUGAAAACCAAUGCUACAAAACAAAUAUACAAGAUGAUAUGCAAUCCAAUGAUUAAGAAUUAAAAAAAUACGAGAGUUGAUAGGUUGCAUGUGACCCACGUGCACCUGAUGCACGGCUCAUUAUGAAAGUACUUCCAACCGUAUAAUAAGUUAAUAAUGAUACGAGUAAACUAAUAUAAAAAAAACCAAACAUAUUAAAAAAUAUCGAUGCAGAGCACAUAGGUCACACGGCUACUACUAGUUCAACCUAAGACCUGGCUGGCUAUCCCCGUGGGCUAAUAUUUGCAAGCAUCCAAUUUUUCUAGCUAAGAAGACUUUGUUUAUUCACUUUCUUUUUUGGAUAAGUAGUGGCGAUGAGAUAAGUGUUAGCUGGCAACAACAACGAGAUUUAGCAAAUAUAUAUAUUUAACGAACCUGCCAAAACGUGUAAUAGCCCCUUCUUUCAUGGGCGUAAAUAAAGAAUUCUUUUCCGGGUCCGCACGGCCAGAACUUAUAUGGGAACUUGAGGAAAAUCUUUGUAUACACCAUCACGUCACAUUUCUCUAUAGCCUCUGUUUUCCACCUCUGUUUCAUUAGAUUUUAAACCAUCAUGUUUAGUUAAUAAUACCAAACCCCACAGCAACAUAGAAAUAAAACAUUACAAGGAGGAUCAGCACACAGAAACAGAGGGGCCAAUGGUUCAGUCACAAGUGGGUAAUUAACCAAGAAAUGUUUAAGUAUAUGAUAAAGACUUGUGGGUUUAAUGCAUAUGCGCAUACUGUACUCUAUAGAAAAAGAGGUAAAAGUGUAAAUAAAAAACCGAUCACGUGUAGAUUAGACACACACGCACAGAGGAUAUGAGUCACAAAAUGCAAAACUGGGGAGAUGAUGCAUGGGAGUCGCACAUAGACACAUUGGGAAUCCGAUUCUUACGUCAUGAGUCAGUAGGAGGCCUUGCCAUUCCAUAAAUUCUGACCCACUAAAUGAAAAUUAAAUAAUGGACCAGGCCAUUUAGAGAUGUAUAUCAAGAGAAGUCAAGUCAGAACGAAAAUCCCACCACCUUACAGGACGGACAGAGCCCGAGAGAUAUUUAUUGUGUUAUGAAUAUUGAAAGGUCAAGAUUCUCCCCCACCCAUCUUAGGUCUCUCAAUAGAGGUUCACAAAUCAAGAGGCAACAGAUACGACACGUCGUCAUAAAUUAUAGGGGGCAUUCUUGGUCUUGGUGGGGGCGAAAGUCAGAGAGUGAUUAGUAAGUAGUAUAGUCACAAACAACAUGGAAUAAAUAAAAGAAGAAAACGUACGGGUAAAGGUGGAGUGAAAGAAAUGAGGUCGCUUUGGAGUACACCAAUGCUAACGGACAAAACCACAUAAUUGGCUUCAUAGAUACAUCCAUCCUCCGUUGUUACAGUAACCCCGUUUCUCGAGUGUUGUAUUUCCCGAACAACCUGCAUAAAAUGAUGCAUAAAAUUUGUCACGAAGAACAGAAACAGAUAAAAAUUUUGUCACAGCAGUCAACUCCCACCCAAAACCAGAACCAAUUUUUUUAUUUGGGAAAGAUUACGGGGAAUCUUUGCUCAUUUAAUGACUCAUCACAACCCAUUUAUGGCUGCUAUCCAAAAAUCACAGUGAUUACUAGUGAAGCAGGACGAUGAUACAGGGGAAGCUUCCCACAUUUACUGCAAUUCGCAUCAGAUUCGUUGGGCAAUAAAGGGAACCAAAACAACAGCCCCAUUAAAUGUAGAUAUUGACUAGACUCCCCACUUUCAUGUUUUUAUUUGAGUUGAUUUGACAUCUCACCCCAUGGGUUAUUGUUUAUGGUCAUAAAAACCACUGUGCAACCAAAUGCAAAUUGAUAUUCAGUGACCCUACUAAUUUAAUAAUGGUAAAAAUGUUUUCAAAACGUUGCAUAUUGUCAUUACAAUUCUGUCAAAUAUUAUACAAGCAAGGACAUUGCUGGCAAGUCAAAGUUUUGCUAUUCAAGUAGGGGGAACGCUAUCAAAAAUUACUGCUCAUUGUUGGGUGUAGGGGUAAAUAAAAAAUUAUAGAACCCCAAUUAACAGAAGCAUUCAACGGAUGGAUUCUCCAGUUUCGGAAACUACUUCACAGUUGAAGAACAAUUAGAGAAGAAAAAAGAGAAAGGGGGGAAGGGCAAAGUUUUUUAGUGUCAAUUUCAUUGGUAAAGAAACCAAAAUUAGAACAAAUCCUAUUCAAAUUAUCUGUAGCAGGUCUAUUCAGCGUUGGGAUUCAAAUGAUGUCUACAGGAAAUCAUCUAGCGACAAACUAUGAAAGCGAUAUCGUGAUCAUAUGACACGGAUGGAUGCCACUAAUUUCAACCAAUAUCUUAAAUAAAUAUUUAAGCAGCCAAAAUAAAUAUAUGGUAAAAGCUCACAAAUCCCAAGGCCGAUUUUUCUCAUUAGCCAGGUAUCCAAUGCAGAUCAUAAAGUUUCUUUCAGCCGCUAAAAGAGUUAAAGCAAAAGCGAAAUUAUCAAGUUGACCACCACCUACACUAACACACAGCUUCUAAUAUAAACUGGCAAAUGACAAUAGUAAUAAUAUAAUAUGAAUUGGAAAUUGCUUUCAGAAACGUCAUUAUCUGCAAACUCCCAAAAGUGGGUCAAUCAUCAAUCUCAACGACAAAUAAGAAUAGCACAUGCAAACAAAAGAGAUACCCAGGGAUUUCUAUCCUAUACUUUUUCUGUUUCUUUUACUGUAUUUUUAUCAAAGCCCAUAUCCGUCCUUUUGUUUCAUCAUAUGAUUGGGUAAUCAACAACAGAACAGACAAAAUUUUCAUUUAAAAACAUAUAAUUAGCUAAAAAGUCAAUAUUUAAAAAGGAAAACAAAUAUAUUUUCUCUUUUUUUCUUCUCACCUUGUUGAGUUUGAGACGACUGUCCAAGAUUUUUCCUUCUGAGGUAAAAAGAAAGUCUUCAGCCAUUUUGUAUAGCAAACACUCAUACCCUCUUUCAUCUGCAACCAAAAAUUCCCUCUCUCCAAAAUCCAAAUACGUCGAUAUAGGCUCAACCUCUUCAAAAAAGAAAAAAACCCAGUUCCCAAUUCAAUACUCACAUACAGUAUCAGAAUAAGAAAAAAGAACAAGAAUCGGACAGCAAUAUGACCUGGCAUCUCAAAAUCAUGGAGUAUAAAGUCGAUAGCGAGUUCCAUGGGAGUCUUUGGCGUACUGUAAACAAAAGAAAGAAGAGAUAACAUAAAAAUCUGCUUAGAGAAUGUUAAUUAACUUAAUGCCAUAUAUAAUUCUUCUUUUUUAGAUGCUCAUGAAACGAACAAUAGACUUUUUGAAAAAUAUUUACCAAAGUGGCUCUGAUACAAUGGAUAAAUCAUCCGCAUCCUCCCCUUGGUUCCUCAGCUUCUGAAUCGCCGAGUCCACCGCCUUCUUGUACGAGUCGGCCGCAACUCCACUCGGAAAAAUUUUCCCACUGCAAACUCAUUGAUUCAAGAACCUAGACUCACUUCAAAUUGACCGAGAAAAGAAAAGGCGAAACAAAAAAAACGAAGGAAAAAAUGGACAAACAAAGGUUCAAAUUCCAUCUCUAAACCAUCAAUACAUUGUUCAAUACCACCAAAAAACAAUGUCUCGACUCUCGAGCAAAAAUAGCGGAGGAUUAAAAGAAACCAUCCGAAACAUAAAAGAGAUUGGGCGAAACACGAAAAUAACAUCAAUCAAGAUCAGGAAUCCAAACCUUCGAUCAUAGAUAUUAUAACGAGCAUUGCUGUAAUCAGAGAAGCAAGUACGGAGACUAGAUUUGAGAGCAAGUUCCCAAACCGGAUUCGGCUCUUUACCACCGACUCCAACAAUCCACCCCGCUCCAAGUUCCACCGAUACACCUCCAAAAUUCUCCUUACAAACUCUUCCUCCAAUACGGUCAGAAGCCUCCAAAAUCACAAAGUCAUCUACUCCAUUGUCCACCAAAACCUUCGCCGCCGACAAACCUUCCAAUCAACAAAUCAACUAAAUCAAAUCAAAGAAAAAAAAAAAAAAAGUACAAUAAAGCGAGAGAGUCGGAAACGGAAUGAAUCAGUAACAGACAAAGGUAUAAACAAACUAUAAGAAGAGUCAUAACUCACCGGAAACACCGGCGCCGAUAACGAUGACGGAGGAACGAGAAGGAGAAUCCAUUAGGGGAGGAAUUGAAAAAAAGAGAGAAAAGGAAAAUAGAAGAAGGUAUUGAAAAAAUGUUAACGAGAAAUAUUGAAGAAAUAUAGCGGGAGUCGGUUUAUAUAGUUUUUUUCAGGACUCCCCUCUCUGAGUUGGAGAUUUAUUCCCAAUUCUAUACUCCAUUAUUUAACGUUAAAUAUAGAUUAAAUUUUCGUUUAACCUAAUAAUUAUCUUAAAAGAUUCUGUUUAAUCAAUACUUUUAAAUAGUUUACAAAUUUUAUGAUUUAUAAAUAUUAUAACAAUUUUUUUAAAAUCAAAAUCUAAUUUCGAAAUAUAUUACAAAACAAUAAAACAUGAAAUAGUAAAAUCCAUUAUUUUUAGAUUUGCUAGAAAUACAAAAAUUUGAAAAAGAAAAAAGGAAGAUUUCAAGGUCAUUUUCUUUUAACCCACUAGACUAUGAAUUGACAUCUUACGCGGAAUUAGGAAGGGUAAGGGUAUUUCUGUCAUUCCAUAAUUUUUUCUUUUAUUUUUUAUUUGAACAAAUAAAAGAUAGAAUUCAUUUAUUUUAGGCCACAGAAAAUGAAAUAAAAUUUUGUAUUGAUUUAUUAAAAAACAAAUCCUAUAAUUAUUAUUUAAUCACUUCUCAAAUGUUCUUUCUUUUCUUUGUUUUCGUGAAAUUUUUCAAAGAUAGUCAAUUAAUUUGUAGCAAAAUUGUAACCCAACUUGCCUACAUAAUUAAUAGUUAAGUAUUAAGGGAGAAAGAAAACAAGGGUUUGUUUUUAUGAUAAAUGUCACUUUAAAUUUUAUGUGGUUCAAGAAUUCCUAUAUUUUUUUGACACUUUUUUAAAAAAGAAAAAAAAAAAAGAGACGUCCAAAUAAAAUGUUAUACUUUAAUAUUAUUCACAUCAUUUAUAUAUCAAUUCAAUUUGCUACAAACAUAUUAUACACUUCAAAGUUUACUUUAAUAAAACUAAAAAAAAAACGUCUAAAUAUUGUAGUUUAAAUUAUUCAAAGUAAAAAAAUGUUAAUAGUUUGGUUCGAGUCUUCCUUAUUUUUAUUGAACUACAUAAAACAUUGUUUUAUAGAAAGUGAUAUUUGUUAAUUGUUGCUACUUGUUUAAGGUCAUUAUUCAAAUUAUUUAAGUGUGAGGGGCAAUAUCGGAAAUUGAACAAGUCAAAUAACAUAUAAUAAAUUUAUAAACAUUAGUUUAAGAGAAAGUAAUAUUUUUAUAAUGUCAAUCAAUGGAGAAAAAAUGAUGGUUGUACUUGUACUAUUGUACCCUGCAUUCCUCCUUUUCUAUAUGCCAAACAAGUUGAAAUAUAUAUAUAUAUAUAUAUAUAUAUAUAUAUAUAGACUUUUUUUUUUUCUUUUCAUAUUGAUUGAAUUAUUAAAAAAGUGUGCAUUAUAUUUCUUAAAUAGUUGUGAGUAGUUGCAUGAUAUGCAUGAUAAAUGCAUGUAGGUUUUGUUUGUACUCUUUGUUUUAUUGAAACAAUUUAUAUGUAUGUAUGUAUACACGCUAUAAGUUUAGUUAAAAGGAUUUCGUUUUUAAAUUAUAUAUUAAUAUCUAUCUCUUAAGCAAGUAAACAUUAUUGUUCAAUCGACACAAAUUUUGUAUUUCAAUUUUUAGGUCAGCGGUUCGAUUUCUCAACCUAUAUCAAACAUCAAAUAAUGUUUGAAUCACUCGCUCCAAAUAAUAAUUGAAUUGUCGUACAAAAUUUUUGUAAGGAAUAUUAAUUAAAAUGUAUACUAUAGCCUUUUUGUUGUUGGUAAUAAAUAAUAUAUAGUAUAGUGAAUUGAUGGAUGGCAUGGGGACGUGAAAUAUGGGAAGGAAAUUAAGUAGAAGCAAUUUAUUGUCGCAUUGUAUGAUAAUUAUAUUGAAUAAAAACAAGUAUUGAAUUAGAGUGUUAAUUAAUCCUAAUGAGAACAAGGUUAAUCCGACGUGUAAGGAUUAGCACCCAUGAUUAAGGGAUAAUUAAAUAACACUAAGCAUUGUAAAAUGGGGGGUUUUGUCAUAAAAUAAAGUACUAAAAGGUUAAAAUAUAAUUUUAGGUAUUAGGGCUUCACCUUUUACCAUAUUGUUUUUAAAUUAUUGUUUUGAGGAAAACCUUUUUUAGAUUAAAAAAGAAAAAGAAAAAGGUUGAAAAGUACACCCAAAAAAAUAUGUAUGCAUAUUGAGUUACUCGAGACUUUGGCUUUGAUAUAGAGGUUUGAAAGUUCAGAUUGAUCUUUUAUUGUAGAUCUCUCUUUCGUGUUUUUGUAGAAUAUAAUAAUCUGAUUGUGCUUUCCUUAUUUAUUUUGUUCAACAUAAGGCUUUUGUUUUGUCUGAAUUAGUGGGUUUUGUUGUUGAGAUCGGAAGAUAAGUCUAGUCGAUCCAUGUUGUCUCUUUUGCUUGACAUUCGUGUAAUAAAAAUGGUGCAUCGCUUAGUCCAUGUUGCGAUUGGGUUGAAUGAAUCGACUCUAAAAAGAAAAGAAAAAUGUUAUAUUUAAAAUUAUCAAAUUUGAAAGAGUUAUUGCCUUCAUCAUGAAUGUUCAAAAUAUUUUAAAGAAAAUGGCAGAAAAAUCUGUGGUAUAUUGAAUAUGUUUUUCUUUUUCCCACUUAUUGUCAAUAAUGGAAUAUAUAUUUUGACUCUAUUAUUAUUUUUUUUUCUCAGACUACAUUGAAAAAUGUAAAUAAUAAUAUUGGAAGAAUAAGUUCAAACUUUACACUACUUAACAGUGGACCCUACCAUAUGCAACUUUCUUAAAUAAUUAAGGGCAUUUUUGGUAUUCCCUCUCUUCUCAAUUUGUUAUACUAUUAUACUAUUUGGAGUUUGUUAUCUUAAAAUUAAAUAAAGUCUUGAGAGCUUAGAUGUCAUAUAGGUAAGUGAGAGUCUCUCUUUAAAAAAAUGUUUUCUAACAAACUAAUUUUUAUUUAAAAUAAUUUAUUUUUUAAAUUAGACACUUGAGUACUCUUUUUCUUUUAAAUUUAUUGACAUGGAUGGAACCAUUGUUUUUAUAAGAUUAGAUAGAGACUGUGAAAUGGGGAAAUGGGGAAAUGGAGAAAGGAAGGUUUUGGUGUAACGCAACGGUGAGGUCAACGUCAGAAGAUGUAAGCAUUGAAUGGGAGUGGGACCCAAAGGAUCAAAGAGAGUGAGAAGAAAAAUUAAGAAAAAAGGGGACCCGCAGCGCACGUGUCGAAGUAGAAGCCACACGUGUGGGGGGAAGAAAGGAGGGGUAAUGUGUGUCUGUGACGGUGCUCAUUUUGACAGCUAGGUAACCGGCGGCCGAUUGUUGGAAAGGAAAAAGGAACAGGCAAAGGUCCACGUUGCCCCUGUUGUUUCUGCUUCCAAACACUCUGUCCCGCUAAACUAUCCCUUCUGUUUUCCCACCUCAUCUUUUUCUAUUUUCCUUUUUUUCCAUUUUUGUAUCUUAUGCCUUUAAACGACUUUUAUUUUAUUUUUUUAAUUUCUUUGUUAUUUAACUUUUCUUUUCCUUUUCAUUUUUUCACUAAAUAUAAACUAUCUUUUUUUUUCUCAAAUAUAAAACAUCCUAACAAAAUCGUUCGAAUAUUAGAUAAUCAAAUCUAAAUAUGUACAUAAACACUCAAAUCUAAUACAAAAGUUCUUUAAAUUUGAAUGGCCAAAUUUAGAUUAUGUAUAAAAAAAAGUCUUUAUACAAAAUUUAAACCUAUCAAAUCUAAAAAAUGGUUUAUCAAAUUUAUUACCUAAGCGUUGUAGAUAUUUUUUGUAUUUUUUAUAGGUACGUGUAUAAAAAUUAAUUUAAUAUAAUAUGUCAAAUUAAAGUUCAAUAGUCAUUUUAAAAAAGCAAAAUAUUGUAGUUGCGUUCUAUUUUUCUUUUAUUUAUUGUUCCUAAGAUAUAUUAUUGUAGUCGUGUAUUUGAUUUCCAAUGUUUGACUUCUCAUAUUUUAUUUGGAUGAAUUUAUUUUUCUAAACCCGAAUCAUCUUUUAUAAUAUUUAUUUAAAUUUGAGGAUAAAAUAAAAUAUGAUUACUAUGAACUUUAAUAAAAUUUCAAAUUUGGAAAAUACAUUUUUUUUCAUUUAGAAAUUUAAAAGAAAAUCCAUAAAACAAAUUAACCUAAAUGCCAAUUUUAAUUUAAGAACUGAGAAUUAGUUGUUUAUCAGCAUCGAUUAUAAAUAUCUGAUUGGAUAUGGACUAUGAACAUAUAAUGACAUAAUUAUAGAUUAAUAAAUUAAUUACUAAUUAUUAUUAUUGGAGGAGGAAAAAAAAUGUUGAUUGUUAAGCUAUGUCAACCACAGAUUUAUAAAAUGGAAAAGAUAUAUGAAAACCUCAUUUAAACAAGAUCUUAGUACCAAAGAUCUUACGUUAAAUACAAGAUCUAAUCUAUUUAAGUUAUUAAUUGACCUUUGACAAAUGUGGCAUCAAUUUUAAUCAUAAGAUAAUUAUCUUUUUUAAUUUAAAAAUCGAUUAUCUAAGUCAAUAUUUAAACCAGUAAUUAAUUAGUGUAACAAAUAAAUAAAAUUUUUAAAAUUAAACAUAUAACAAUAAUUACAUAUUCCUAAACCAAAAUGUCAACUCUCAAACUUUUUGCAGUUCUAUAAAUUUUUUUAAAUAAUUAGAUAAUUAAAAAUAUUUUAAUUUGUAAUUUAUUCGAGUAGAAAUUUUGUUGAGUGUUAUGGAUUUGUUUUAUUCCAAAGGGCAUCUUCAAACUAUUUGAAUAAACAAACAAUAAAGAUUAGUUGUUCUUUUUAGUCAAGUCCUUUAUAAUUAAAUUACAAAGACUUUUAUUUUUCUUUUUUCUAAAAUCUUAUUGUAUAUUGAUUAAUAAUAAUUAUAUAAAUGUUGGUUGUUAUAAUAUUUGGUUAUUUUUCCAAAAAGUAAUAACUACGUUAAGAUGUAAAGUAUAUAUUAUAAAAAUAUAAAUUAACAAAUAAUACCGUACGCGUUGGUAUUAGUGGAUGAAUUAGAUUUUAAAUAAUGAAUCCAUUAGUUAAAGAAUAGGGAAAAUGUAAGUCUACCCUUUAUAGUAAAUCCAUUAAUAAUGAAUACAUAAAUUUUUAAUCUUGACGUCAUAAUAUAUAACAAAUUAGGAAAUGAUUAUUUUAAAAAAUAUAUAGUAAGCAAUUUAUUUUGCUUUCCUUUAUCUUCUUUUUUGAAGAUAAAAUUAGUCACUAAAAAGAGGAAAAGAAAGAGAUGUGAUAAGUGAUCCCAUAACGAAAUCGUGGCAAUGAAAUGUUACAGGAAGGUGACGCGUGGCACUUGCCUUGCUGUACAUGGGGUCCACGCUGACAAAUUUAUGGGCAUUUAUAUCUUUAUAAACUUUUUUUUUUUCAUAAUAAUAAAAUUAUAUAUCCAACGAAACAAAAAUAUUUAAUAAUAUGACAAUUCAUUAUAUAUAGUUUUCUCGUCCUUAUUCUAUACACAUUGUAUUCUAUUCUUAUUUUAAAAAAUUUAUCGUAUCUAACUUCGGUUCAUAAUUUUUUUAAAAAAAAGACAAAUUUUUCUAUACAUUUUGAAAUGACGUUAAAAUUUAUGAAUUAAAAUAGAACUAAAAUGAGAUUUAAAUCUUUAUAUGUCUAUUAAAAUAUCAUGUAAAGAAUAAGUAAAUGAGCGUUGCAUGCAUUCAAUCAACUUUGUUAAUGAUACCAAAGCUUGAAUUCUUAAAACGAUUUCUUAUAAUUAUUUGUUCCAUAUUCUCAAAUAAAAUUAAGAUGAAUCCAAAUAAUAUCCUUUUCAGUGUGACGGUGGUUUAUUAAAAAAAGAAAGAUAGAAAUUUAGAGUCGUAAAGAAAUAAAAUUAAGAUUCUUCCUUUUGUUAAUACAAAAUAAAUUAAACAAUCUUUUGGUCAUAAUGAUUCGGUUUUUGUUUAUAAUAAUUGUAUCAAACAUGAUUUUUAAAAAAUAUAUCUAUCCUAUUACACCUUUGUAAUUUUUGUUUUUCAAAAUUAAACUUUUUAGUUUUUACCUUCCACCUAUAAUUCAAGAAAAAAGUGCAAUUUUGAAAAAUACAAAAUGUAAUUUUAAGAUUUUCUUUUAAAAUUCAACUACGAAUUAAAUCGCUAUAAUUAAAAAAAAUGAAGUCAUUAUUAAAAACGAGGAGAAAAUAGAUUUGAUUUAAAAAAAACGACAAAAAAACAAAAUGUUACCGAACGAAUCUAAAUAAUAUAAAUAUUGUUUGAUAGACAAGAUAUUAAUUAAUUAUAAAAAAAACAAUUCUAGAGAUUAAAUAAAUUUUUUCAAUAUAGAAAAAUAGUGAAACUAUUUAACCUUCAUAUAACAAACCAUUAAAAGAUGAAAAUUAUUACACCUGAUUUUUUAUGAAAUGUAAAUAUUUUGUUAAAUGUUUGAUAAUUUUCUCAUUUUUUUAGGAGUAGAUGCAAAUUUAGCAUUCAAAAUAAUUAAGUAUAUACCAACAUUUAAAAAAAAAAUUAAAUAUAACAAAAUUUGUCAAAUUCUAUAAGAUCGUACGAGUCUAUAUAGUUUGGUUAUAUUUGUAAUUUUUUUAAAUAUUGUUAUAUAUUUAAUUAUUAUUUGUGUAAUGACUCUCAAUUAUAAUUACUUAUUUUUUUAAAAAAAUUAUGUAUUUUAGGAACUAUUCUAAAAUUGAAAGAAAGAAAAGAAAAAAGAAUGACAAUUUAGGAAAGGAAAGAAAUAGUUAAAAAAAUAAAAAAGGAAAAUGGAUAAUAUUUAUUUUGAGUACAAAAUGGAUUGUAUUUAAAGUUUGGAAUUUUCUUAUCAUUCUUUCUCCUCUAUCUUUUUGGGAGAAUAUAAAAGACAAUAGAUUUAUGGGUGUUGCUUCAAAUUUGAGCAAAAUGACAAUGAUAUAUAUGCAUUUAUGGAAUUAUGUAUUUUUAUUUAUUUCUUGUUUUGUACCCUUUUUUCUUUUCCUCAAAUAUUAUUCAAAUUCUAUUAAAUUUUGGAAGUUUCUAACAUAGGUACCAAAAAUUGACUCAAUCCUAUCACUAAUUUUUUCAUCAAUUUCUCCCUUUUGUUCUUUUCCUUAUAACCAUUUUCCAUUUCGGUAAAUAUCAUAUCCAUUCUUAAAUUUAAAAAAAUUCCAAAUCUAAACAUUUGAAACACUAUAUUAUUGUUUAAAUUGUAAAAAUGUGAAUAAACUAAUUAAAACUUUCAAACAUCAUAUACAUAUAAAGUACACAUUACAUUACUUACCUUUACCUUACUUUUAAGUUACUCUAUGAUACCAAUUAAGAAAAAUUUGUGUUCAUUUAAACUUUAGAUAUUUUUUUAUAUCAUCAACCCAAUAUAGCAAAGUUUAUACUAAUUAAACAUGUAAAACAACAUACACUCAAUAUCGAACGUUGUCUACGUAACACCCAUGAUGCAUUUAAAAAUCUAUUUACAAGAAUUUUGCCCAAAUACAAAACUAAAAUCUUAUAUUUAAGCUUAACCCAUUUGAUUAGAAUAUAUACAUGUAGAAAUGGUUUUUUUCACUCUCAUUAUCAUGAGAAAACAAUAGUGUGGAUUAUUUAUUUAUGUAUUGUUUUUGUUGUUUAUUUAUUUAGGGGUUAAUAAUUGUAAAAGUGGGGUUGAAAUGACAAAGGGAUAAAGCAAAGUCUAUAAUUAAAGAAAGAGAAAGGCCUAAAGGAAAAUUAUGUUUCCUUACCAAAGUAGGGAGCAAAAUCUUAUGGAUAGUGAUGGAGCUUUCUCAAGAUUCUAUGCAAUUUGUCUUUUUUUCAAAAUAUUAUUAAUAAAAUUUUAAGAUUACAUAAUGAAUAAUUCAAUUCCAUUUUUAUAUAUUAAGAAGGAAAAACAAAACCCUUAAUUUAACUUCCAUUUAUUACUUCAAAUUUAGUAUUUUCUUUUUUCUUUUUUGUAUAGAUAACAUUUGAAAUAAUUAAAGUAGUGUAUUCUCAUAAUGGAUAUUGGAUAUAUGUUUUGCUUGGAAAGCAACCUCUUUUUUCUUUGGAUUUUUAUGGUGAUUAUACAUAGUUUUCUCAAAAUAAUUCUAUGUGCUUUUUUGAAAUAGAAUUAGAUGAUGUGAAAACGCAUUAAUUAGUUUAUUGGUCACUAAUUUGUUUUUAAUUACUUUUUCUCACUAUGUGUAUGCGUGUGGAAAUUUUUAACUUCUAGAAAAUGAAUAAAUCAAAGUUAAUAUUGUUUCUUUCAAAACCAUGCAAAGUUUGUAAUAGUGAUGUGCACUAAUGUAUUAUUGGUACAAAAAUCAUCUCUAUAUAUUACUUCUUUAAAAAGAAAAAGAACUCUAUGCUUUGCACAAACCAAUAUAAUGAAACUUGAUCCAAAUUAAUGAGCUAGAGAACUACUAAUUAAUAACAAUUUUGAAAAUGAAGUGAACAAUAGAUAUGUGUGUGUGUGUAUAAUAAUAUUCAUUUUUAGGAUAGAACUUCUAAAUUUGCUCAAAAGAAACCCAUAUUGAAUAUAACAUAUUUGUUCUUAGCUUAACUUUGCAAUCAAGUUUGGAAAAAAUGGGAUGAUAAAAGAGAGGAUAGAGUAAGAAUAUAUAAGAGCAUUAAUGUAAUGGGGAUGGUGAUGGUGAUGGUGAUGUGUGGUAAAUUUUGCUUUGGAUUUCAGUUUGGUCACCUCCCCCACUCAACUUAGGUUUUUGAGAAUAAUUUGCAUGAAACCAUAUAAUAAGUCAAAAAGAGAGCUCCAAAAAGGAAUUAACUUAAAGAAUAAGCAAAACUCAACAUAUGUUUGGCUUUUCUAUAACUUAAUGAAUCAAAAUCACUUUCCACUAACCCUUUUCCCUUUGUUUUUGGGUGACCAAGUCGAGGAGUUUGAACUAAUUCAUGCAAUGUGUGUAGACACAUAUUUAUUUUCUAAUGCUUGAAAGUGUACUCAUAAAGAUUUGUUUUCCGUCAUUAUGUUGAUGAUCACUAUAUAUAUAUAUAAGUAAUUUAAGAUGAUUUCUAGAUUGAAUUACAUGACUUUGUUCCGUUCUGUACAUUCACGUAAUGAUUGUGGAAGGAAGAGUUUGCUUGAAAAUGAGAUCAAAGUUUUGCAUUGGACUACUAGAUAAAAGGUUGAAUAUAGAAAAGAUAGUUGUCUAUCUCUAAAAGCAAUGAAAUCAAGUGAACAAUAUUAUACUAUUGUGGGGAUAUUUGGAUGUUCGGUCGCUCCUCGCACACACAUACUCUAUAUUUUAUAUUAGUAUCAUUUGAGAGAUAAAAGUUUGAUUUAUUAAGUGUAAAUGUGUAAAGUCUUUUGACAAUUAAGAGAAAACACAUAAUUAUUACAUAUAGAUUUUAAGAUCUUAUAUUCAAUGAUGCACGGGAUGACAACGGGACACGAUGUCCUUAAAUUUAGGGGUCUAAGUCCAAGUUUUCUUGUUGUCACACACCAUUUGAUGUUCAAACGAGAAAUUCAACGAGAAAAGAAAACAAUAAUAAUGCACCAAAAUAGUUGAGUUGUGAGACUUCAUGUGUGAAAAAGAUGACAUAUGAAAGUUUAUAGGUUUGUUUAUAAUUACCAAAUGGCACUAUUACAUAUAUAUGCAUACAGGCCUCCAUCCAUUUGAACCCAAUUUUCUCUAUUCAACCUUCAAAACUUGUAAAGAACCCAAUCUUUUUCUCUCUAAAAGAAGGGGACUUAUCAUUAUUAUUCCCAUAUAUAUGUAAUGUAAACAAGGGUAGCUAGUGGAGCACUUUGAUUAAUCUGUCCUUUCUUUGACUUUCUUUUCCUCCAAUAUUAGACCAUAUAUAGCUAGGGUUUAAUGUUUCCCCUCCAUGGGUAAAACUUUUAAUUAAAGGAAGACCUUAUAAAGGGUAAGAAUUGAAACCCUAUAUGUGUCCAUUAAAGUUGGAGCAGUCAUAGGUUUAUAAAAAAAUGGUGGUAAUAUAUAUAUUAUAUAUCUCUACUAUAGCAAUAACGAAUCCAAGCUUAAAAGUUAGUUCACGCCAAUUUAAGUUAAAUGUGAAUUAUAUCAUAUAUAUAUAUAACUUAAAAAUGUAUGCUCAUAAACUAUGAAGUUCAUGGAAGCAAUAUGUAAGUAUACACACAAACUUUCCGUCCAUGACUUUAGUGACAAACAUCUAAAAAUGUUCAAAGUUUGAAAAUAAAAACGAAACAUUUUAAGCGUUUAAACGUAGAUUUAAUAAUAUGAUUUGAAAAGAGAAUUAGAUAAUAAAUGGAUAGGGUGAAAGAAUGAUGAUGAAAAGUUGAAAAGAAGGAGGAUAUGAUGAAUCAAAAUAUAUGAUAAUAUAAUAUAAAAAAGGUUCCCUCUUGAGAGCCAAAGAUGAUGAUAAAUUUGAAACAAAUUGAUUACAAUAAUAUAAGCAAUAAUAACCCAAAGAAAAGAAAAAUGGGAAAAGAAGAAUCUAAAUUGAUAAAUGGAAAAAUGGGUCCAUAUGAAAUAGGAACCUAUAAUAGAAUGGCUAAAGAAUCAUUCAUUCUGUCUUUCUUUUUUUUUUCUUUCUAUAUAUGAACACUUGUCUCAUUCCCAUUGGUCAUUGUGGUGCAACUAUGAAAAUCCAACUUUUUUUGAAAAUUUAUGUGUGAAUGUUAGAACAUGAAAGGAAUCCAAUUCUAAAUCCAAUCAUUCCUCACAAAGAAAAUCCAAACAUUCCAUGAUUUUUUUAAAUAAAGUAUGAGUUCUCAUGGAUUUGUUAGGAAGUGUUGAAAGAGAUUGGUGAUGAUCAAUUCAUCCACAUGUUGAUGGAUUUUGAAAUUUUAAGUCCAUUAUUUAAACAUUAUAUGAUCAAAAUAGGAGAUUUUUAUGUGCUAAUAAUGGAGAUUGUUUCAUGUUCAAAAUCAUGUCAAAAAUCACUUCAAAUUUCUAAAGUAAAGUUAUAUUGUGGAUGUGACCGAAUAUGACGGUUUAGAAUGAUAUUUCAUUUUCCCAUCUUUCAAAUCAAAUAAUUUUACGAAAAAAAUUAUGUUUAGAAACAAGAAACAACAAUGUUUAGAAAAUAAAAAAAUAAAAUAUUUAUUUUGUAGUUUCAAGCACUUAACUUUUUAACAUUGCAUCUAUUCAUCCACAAACUUUUAAAACUUUUAACAAUAAAAUUCUUUUAAUUGAUUAGACAUAAAAUUCAAUUUUACAUACCAUAUACAUCAACUAAUCUUCAAACUUCAAGGAGGUCUUUAAACAAAAUUUAAAACUUGUUAGAUACUUUUUGUAAUUUAACUCGAAUCUUAGCAAUUUUGGUUGAAGAGAUCAAGUAGGGAAUAACUUGGUGUGGUGUUUCCUCUUGAAGUUGGUGUGUCCUAAAAAAGAUAUACAACUCUAUAUCAAAAUGAAAGUGAUCAGAGACUUAAUUAACAUACUAUAUAGCAAACUUUAUUAAGUAUUGUUAUUGAAGAAGAAAAGAGGUUGUUGGUACUCAAUCAAUGAUGUGCCGUAAAAAGGGAAUGAGAGAAUAUUAUGGUUUUUGUGGGAUUUGUCAAAUCCAUCCAUCCCUUUAGAAUAUAGAAAACAAAUUCCAUAAACUGUCAUUUAGUAUACAAAAGGAAUAUUAUUAGCAUUGACUCUCAAUAUCCAAAAUUAUUGGGUGUUGAAACAAACAAACAUUGGUCUCACAAACCCACAAAUCCCUUCAAAAAGAAAAAAGAAAAUUACACCUUUUUCCAAUGCUUUGUUUUCUGUUUUGAAAAUAGAUUGAUGGGUUUGUUCUUCCUUUUAUCCAAUUUCUUAUGCCACUGUUUGGACUUUGGAGAAGGUUUGGUUGUUGCCUUUCUCAUUGCUCCACUGACCAAUCCCUUAUUGCUUUUCUCACUGCUUUCAGUUUCACAUUUCAAAGUUUUCAACCUUUUUUUAUUUUUCCUUUCGUUUCAAGUCAUGAUUUUUAAAUGGGUUUAUGUAUAUGUAUCUAAGUUUUCAUCAUAUUGACUCACUAUUGUGUGCUCUUCUAAUUCCAUUCACACAGAUACUUGGGUUGUUUUCUUCCCAUUUGUCUAUUUCUUUAAAUGUUUUGAUACCAACUUCUCUAUAGACUACUCCUAUUCAAGAAUUUCUAAGAAGGUAGGUCGUUUUUUAAGUUUUCUUUUCUUUAACCAACAUUCAUUGAAUGUACGUGGAUAUAUUGAAUUCUUUGGUAUCUUUUCAUUUCAAAUUUUAGCUUUGUUUGAGUGGCAUAUUCCAUAGUCAACAAUAAUUGAUAUCUACUCCUUUUUAAAAGAUUGAAAGUUCAAAUCUCCGGCUAUCUUUAUUUUUUAUACUAAAAGAAGAAAGAGAAAAAGGUGGCAUGAGUCAAAUAUUUGAGCUUGUGAAUGCUCUCUUUUAUAAACUAUUUGAUUGAAGAUAUUUUUAUGGAAAGUUGAUGGGCUAAAUGUCACUUUGCACAUAGACUGAGGCUAAGGAGCCCACCACAUGUUCCUAAAAUUAGAGCCAAGUAUUGGGAUAGGUUUGUUUGGAUGAAUGAUCUUAAUCAAAGUAUAAAAUCAAAAUGAAUAUUAGAAAAUAAUAAUGUUGAAACCUUAUUAAGCAUCGAACAAUGACUUGAAUUAGUCAAUCAUCCCGCAAGGAAACUUGGCAUGAUAUGAUCUCCGUAAAACAAGGUUCAAAGUUUAAUUAGAGUUGAGUCAUACUCAUAUUGGCUAGACUUAUAUUACAUGUAACAGGAAAAUAUAACACAACGAAAAGUUGAAAAUAUGCCCAAUCUUAGAUUACAUGGAAAUAAGAGAAAAACUUUAAUCACUUCCGUUCUUGUUAACGGAACAAAAAACAAGUACAUAAGUUUCUCAAAUGAGAGUAUCCAAGCUUCAUGGAAGAAAAGAAUGUCUCGUCUUCGAAAGCGAGUAUUGGGGUUAGAAGAUAAUGUAUUCUUCAUCUCCGUCGUACAAAGAAUCUUAUCAAGACAUGUAUUCAAUUAGAAGACACAAAAUGCAACUAACAGCAAAAUAUGCCAACAUGAUAAGAGCCAUUAUUUUGAUGUUUGAAAGCUGACAAGCAAACGAUGGAUUAUUUCAUAUAAGAAGACUGAUAAAUCCUAGAUUUCCUCCAGAAUAUAAAUCGCUCUAUCUUUUAUAGGCAGCUGUAAAGUAGGGAACAUAGCUGGAAGAAGGUCAAUGGACAAGUUUUAGGUAAGCACAACCAGGAUCACAGUGAAAGAUACCAGAAGAUCAUGCAAUAGGGCAACUGGCUACAGUUAAACACUCACAAUGAAAGAUACAAGAAGAUUAUGGUAAUGUGACGGGCCACGGUAUAACAGUAUGAGAAGCAUCUCGAGUUGAGCUGUAGUCCAAUUCCAGGCGUUGCAAGCCAUAUGCUAGAGAGCUAGAGCUCCUCUAGCAGAAAUCAAUUCUGAUAUUCAGAUUAGCUCUGAAAAUACCAUACAUGAAGGUUUGUUGCCAAGGGUUGGUUGCCUUGAGAAGAAACAGUAGUCCCAUUAAGCUUAUGGUGGGUGGGGACAUUGGUCAAGAGCACAUUUUCUUCUGUAAAAUACAAAUAUGAUACAGAUAUUAGCAAUGUAAUCGGAAAGGAAACAUAAAAGUAGAUGCAUAUACCAUGUGACAAAUGCAAUUGAAAUGAAAUUUUGUUGAACAUAAAUUUGGAAAUCAGUAGUGUGUUAGGUACCCAAACCCAAAAAUUAUGUGAAAACACCAAUAACGAUAUUGCAAUGUCUGAUGAAAUUAGAAUAUAAACAAGUGAUUCGAGGUACUUGCAUUUUCUCUCUUGACAUCUCUCUCAAGUCCUAAUUUACUCAAUAAUGCCUAACUUCAUCCCUUCCCACUCUCUUAAACCUAUCCUUGAACCAAUAUCAUUCCAUUUUAUCAUGAAAGAAAAUAAGUGGUGACUGCUGGGAUUGUAAGAGUUACACUCUAUUUUGAGAAAUUAUUUGCAAUCAAUUAGAUAGAGAAUGAGGAAAGAAGCGCUUAUAUGUUAACAAAUGGAUCAUUCAGAAUCAAUACCAUCAAGAAACUUUACUUGUAAUGAAAGAUACAGUCUAGUCACUGCCCCAUCACGAGACAUUUUUUUAUAAAAUGUGAUCUACAGUGAACCUGAAUAAGCACAAAAACUUGGAGUUGUAAAAAGUCUUACCGAACAAGAAUUUUUUUUUUUCAUAAAACAAGCAAGAAAUAACAAAAGAAACAAGAUGGAAUUUUUCGGUUUAAACUUGUAGUGCGACAACUAACAAAUUAAUGAAAUCUACCUGAAGAAUUGAGAAGAAUGCCUUGCACUAAUGAAGACAUAGGUCCCUUGAAAAGCCAUGCCCCCAUAUGGAUCUACAUUCUUCCACACUACUGAAACGUUUUAGUAAUGGGUCCUUGUCAAGCCAGGUUUCACUGCAUCAAGCCAAUAGGACAAAGUUAUGUAAAAGGGACAAGUUUUGGUACAUGAGAACAACAUUAGAUCAGCUGGAAGAAAAAAAACACUAGAAAGUGUUAAUAGUUAACAAAUGAUUUUUGUAUUUGUUAGAGAUUAAGUUAAUUUCUAGUGUUUUAAAAAGCCCUCUUGGUAUGCCUAGGCUCAAGGCCCAGGUCUGCCGUCUCGCCUUGAAAAGGCUUGUGCCUUGAAAUUUUUAAUUAUUUUUAGAAAAUAGCAGUAUUUAGGGGCUUUCCUUGUCUAUUAACUAAAAAAUAAAAUUUACUAAGCUUAAAUGCAAAAGUUCUUCUGUUUAAGAGUUUUUUCUUUCAUAUUUGCUUCUCUUCUUAUUAUUGUACUUUUAUAUAUAGUGCGCCUCACAAAAGAAAAAACACAUGUUCUUUUUUGGCCUUGCACUUAAGCCCUAGAAGACUAUAGGGCUUCAUUGUGCCUUAAGCUUUAAAAAAACACUGGACUUUGUUUUGUUUUAAGCUUUUUGUUUACAAUUUCUCUAUAAAUUACUCUACAAAACAUUCUUUAUCAAUGAAAAAAAUCUCUUCCAUGGUAUCAAAGCAAGUGGUCCAAAAAAGUUGUGUGUUCAAGCUCUACAAUGUUAUUUCCUCUCCAAUUAAUGUUCAUUUCCACUUGUUGGGUCUUCUUCAUAUUUCAAAUCUAGAAACGAAGGGGUGUUGGAUAUUAUAUUAAAUUUGUCUUCACUCAUCAGUUUAAGUUUUUGGGUCAACUGAUGAUUUAAGAUGGUGUCAGAGAUGUUCAUAUAGGAUAGAAAAAUGAUUGACAUGACACUGCUAUUUUUAUUACAUAUAUCAUAUGUGUGGAUUGAACCUACAACCUCUUGAAAGAGCAAUGCCUUACUUGCGGAGCUAUGCUCAUGGUGCCAAGAUAAUAACACUAUUAUAAUAAACUGUUAUGCAGAAUCAUAAAUAAGCACCAAUUUACCUCGCCGUCGUUAGUGGCAAUCAACUUAUUUUCCAAUCUUUGAGCAUCCUCGGUCAUGCCUUGUGCUUUUAAGGCUCGAAUCAUUGUAGCAAAUGUAAUACCAUCAGGCACACAUUUAUUCUCUUUCAUUUCCAAGAACAACUCUCCCAUUUUUCUCACAUUACCAGCCUGGCCAUACACAUUGAUAAGGCAGUUAAAAAGAGGGGUAUCUGGUACCACAUCAGAAUUUUCUAUUUGCCUCAAAAUCGAAUCAACUUUCUCAAGAUCACCAGAUUUACCAUAUGCAUUUACGAGGGAACAGUAAGUCACAGAGUUAGGCUUCAUUCCCUGAAAUUUCAUAUUUUUGAAGUAUUCUUCCAUCUCCUCAAUAUUUCCAGCUCUUCCAAAAGAAUCAAUAAUUGUAUUCAUAGUAACAAUUGUUGGAGAGAAAAAGCGUUUUUCCAUGAAAUUCAAAACAGAUUUCAUCUUGUCAUACAUUCCAGCUUUCCCAUAUGAGCUGAUCAUAGAAUUGUAUGUCCAAAUGUCUGGCUCGAUUCCCAUCAGCUGAAAUUCCUUAUACCACUUCUCCAUCUUCUCAAUCUGCUCACUAUUUCCGUAAGCUCUGAUAAAAGUAUUGAAUGUAAUCAAAUCUGGAGGGCAGCUAUCACUUUCAAUCAUUUCAAGUAACAAGCUUUCCAUUUGCUCAAACAUUUUAGCCUUUCCAAAUCCAUUAAUAAUAGUAUUGUAAGUGACCGUAUUACAUGUGAUCCCCAGACAGGACAUAUCAGCCAGUAUCUUCUUCAGAAGAUCAAAACGACGGAGUCUUGUGCAACAAUCAAUGAGAAUUGAAUAUGUAUGUACAUCUGGCUUGCAGUCAGAAAUCGAUUUCAUUUCAUCGACUGUUGAAAUGGCCUUGUGAAGGAGGCCACUUUGACCAUAAGCACUAACAAGAGCAGUAUAAACAUCAAUAGAAGGUUUCAACCCCUCAGAAAACAUAAUCUCAAAGAGCAAACUUGCUUGCUCGGGUUGCUUGCACUUACCAAGAAGCAUCAACAAUUUUGUGUAUGUUUGGCAUCUCGGUUCAUACCAUUGUUGCUGGCGAAGUAAUCCAAAAAUCUGAAGAAAUACAAAAUUAUUUGGUCAUAACUCUCGUUUUAAAAAUACAAGAGCAAAAUCAGUUCAUCAGUCAUAAGUUUCUUCAUUUACAAUAUAUGGAAAUGUUGUAUCAAAUUUUUUUUUUUUUUCUUUUUUUCAAUAUACUUCAGAAAACGAUGGAAAUGAAUUUCUGAAACCUAUUUGAACACUAACAAGACAGGGUGCAGGGGGUGCAGGGGUUUUGAACAAAAGAAAUAAAAGCAAACAUCGCACCGAAGCAGUCUAUGAGUGAGAAAAACGAAAGGACGUACAAGAGUAUACCAAACAAAGCCAACAAAAAAAUAAGUCCAAACACUAUCUAAAGAAACAGAGUUAUAUCUAAGAGAAUCAAAAUCAAGCUCAUAGUUACGGAAAUGAAUCAAAGGAUGCAUUAAACCUACUACCUAACAAACUCUCAAAUUUCCUCACAAGAUCCCAAAACAAUCGUAGAGGAAUUUUCUUGGGGACAACACCCUACCAUGAUAAAUCAUCCCACAUAUAAAAAAGGUCGAUAGCGUUAAUUUGUUCAUGAAAGAAAUGUCGGGUAGAAGAAGCUUUGGCAGUCAUGUUGAAAUUGCUAAAACUAGAGCUCUGCAGAACUUCCAGUGCAAAAGGAUUCUGAAAGUAUACCAAACGCACUCAGAAUUUUCAGCUUACCCGUGCGUGCGUGCAUGUUCAGGGUGAUUUUAAAAUAAUUGAAACCAUUUGAAAUACCCCUUGUCAUUCAAAAUCAAUUCAAUAUUUAAUAGUACAGUUUUAAAUGCAUUUUUUAUACUGUUAAAAUUUAUUUUGAAUGAUGAUCUUGAAGAUGAAAAAAGAAAGUGAUUUCAACCGUUUUAAAAACGGCAUCGUAGAAAUGAUUCAUUGAAGCUAUAGCUAACAAGGUUUACUGGGCAUUCACGUAGGCAUUAUCAAAGUAUUGAUAAAAGAUUAAACUUACACUAACGCAUUAAACUUAAACUUCUAGAUUGAUUAAUAAUACAACGUGGUAUCAAAACAAGAGGUCAAUAUCCUUUGUUUAAACCUCUAUAAAUAUCUCUCCUUAUUUUGAGCAAAUUCACUAACAAAAACCAACCUUAAGAGCAGUUUCCCAUAGAUUCUCCUGAAUAGCUUCAUCGAGAGCCUCCAAAACAGCUUUGGGCCAAAGAUUAUUAUAUUUCUUGGAGUUGGCUUUCCUCUCUAUAGCUUUAAUAGCAGCAUCUCUCCUCAGAAUCCGAGACAGACCCUUCUUCGGAUCUCUCUGUAGUGCGUCGGAGGACUGGGUGGAAGUCCGCUUAAGUGACCGCGAAUGAGAAGAAGAGAUGAAAUAAGGAGUGGAGCUCACGGAAGCCAUUGAAAUAACUUUGGAGGUAAAGGAAGUUGAGAAGCAACGGAAAACUGUAGCGUCGGGAGAGUGAAGGCAAAGCUCCAUUGAAAUAUCCCAAGAGAACCGGUGAACUACCGAUCAACCCAAUCCAAUUUUUAUUACUUUCCUUUUCUACGUCAGAAAUUUUGAUGGGCUUUUAAAUGGAAAAGUGUUUAUAGGAGGCCCACGUAAGGUGGCCCAAAACGGAAUAAAAAUGAUAAUGAGGGUUAUAAAAAAAAAGCACGCCUGAUGGGACUCGAACCCACAAUCGUCUGAUUAGAAGUCAGACGCCUUAUCCAUUAGGCCACAGGCGCUGUUGACGUUAACGGUAACGGUAACUUCAUUUUACAAUUGACCAUUUUAUAUAUUAAUUUAUUUUUAUAAAUAGAAAAAUUAAUCCUUCUUUUUUAAUUAUUAUUUGUCUAAAUUAAGAGAAUGACUUAAUACGAAUUAUAUAUUUUAUUCUUGAAAUAUAAUCAAUAACACUUCGUGUAAUUGAAAUUUGAAUUGUUUGAUUUUGAAAUUACUAAAUAAUGUUUAUAAAAUACUUGAUUUUGGUCUCUUUAAUUAACUAAAAACGAUUUAAAAACAUUUAUCUCACUGUCUUCUAUAACCCUUUCCCUCACUCUUCUUCAUCUUUCAUCACCAUCUAAUCUAAUCUAAUCACCACCACCUAUUGUCCUAAUAUUAUCCCUUACAAAAUAGUUUUUUUUAUAUAUAUAUAAAUAAUAACAAUUACUAUUAUUAUUUAAUUUCUGACCUCAUUCACCAAAAUUGUAAGUAAAAGGAGAGGGCAUAAGUGGAAAUAUAAAACAAGUUUGUGUUUUGAAGGCCCACACCAACCCCCAAAAAUGAGAACCAUCUUUUGUUUCCCGAGCUUGUUGGCGUCACAACGCUCGUAGUUGUAAAUGUAACGCCACUUUUUGCCGCGCUUCCCUCGUGGCCCACUUUGACGGAUAUUCCGCAUUUAUAUUCUUCCAUUCAUGCCCUCUUACCUUUACUUUAUUCCCAUUUCUUCCCCAAAUUGAAUUUCACUUUGGAAUAAAUCUAAUUUAACACUAUAAUAAUCACUUUUUUUUUACUCCAACAAAGAUUAGAAGAAACGUAAAAAAUGGAAAAUUUGAUCGAAUAAAAUUAAAUUUUUAGAUCUACUAAUAGUAGACAUUCAUCCACAGUCAGAGUGGUAUCUUUCUAUUCAGUUUCUAUAUUUGAAUUGUAUUCGGUAUAGUUUAUAAAUAUUUUAGUUUAUUUUACCAUAUUUGAAAAUGUCCUUAAAUACUAUUUAAGUCUUCAAUUAGUUUCCGUAAACAUUAUUUUAAAACUCUCAAUUUGCUACCGUUUUAUUAUUUGUUACUGUCUUUAUCAUUUAACAUUCAUAAUUUUUUUAUUAUUUGUUAUCGUGUUUAUUGUUCUCUUAUCAUACUAAAAUAGACUAACAUAUACUAUUAUAACUCAAAAUAAAACAAUUUACACAAAAAAAAACACAAAUUAUAAUAACUUACUUUUUGUUCUAAAGACCUCUUUAAUUUUUUUUAAAUGACACGUUUGUUUUAUUGUUUAUGGGGUAAAUAGUUGGUUUAAAUUAUUUUAGUUUGUUAAGAAAAACAGUAAAUGUUGUAGUAAAUAAUAAAAAACUGACGAAGAUAAAAUAGUAAAAACGGUAACAAAAAAAAUCUAUUGAGAUACUAGAAUUAAGUUAAACUAUUUGUAGUUAUUUUCGUCUAAUUAAGUCUUAUAAAACUCAACUAAUACAUUAAUUAUCUUGAACAUUUAAAAUCAACGUAUUUAAUAUCUAAGGAAGAAAAUUGGUUGUGACAAAAUUUACUCACCUUUUCAAUUUAUAUACCUAUUUGGUAUUUAACAUGACCUCACAUACAUUUCAAAACCUUUUAAUGUCUCCAAAUAAAUUAAAUAUAUUUAAUGUUUUUUCUUUCAUAACCAACCAAGCAGAAAUAAAUAAUUUAACUAAAAUGCUAGUUUUCAACUCUAUGCCUACCCUAUAAUAUAUAUAAUAAUUAAUCGGCUAGGCAGUAUAGAUUGAUGAACACUUUAUUAUUGUUUUUAUUAUUGAUGUAUGUGAUUUGAUCUUCUUCAACCUUGACUUGUUUUAAAUAAUAAGCAUUUAUUACUCUUAUUCAUUCUCUUAAAUAUAUUAUUGAGUUUAUUUACAUCACAUAUAUGUUAUAGGAACUCAUUCAAAUUCUUAUAUUGGGUUUUAUUAAUAUAUCUAAAUCAUCUCCAUCAUUUCUUUUUUGUCAAAAAUCUAUGAAACUGAUGUUUACACUUGAGGAAAUUUAAUAUAUAUUUACCAAAAAUUUCCUUCAUUUGGUUUGAAUAUUUUGUUGCAAACUUACAUGAUUGAUUUGGUUUACAAGUUCUCAAUGUAAUUGAUUUUAGAUUAUUUCCCCUACCAUGUUUGACAAAAUAAAUCACAAUCACUGUAUCCAAAUUCUAGCUAAAUAUGUCCAUAUAUAUUUACUUCAUUGAGUUGAGAGCUAAAGGAUAUAUAUAUACAUAUGUGUGUCAACUUGGCUAACAUGUUUAUGGAUACUCCUAAUACGCAUUGGACAUCUAUCAAACAUUUGGUGGUACAAUAGAUCAAUAGACAUCGAUAUAUGUUAGAUGUUAAAUAACGUUUGCUUCACAUAAAAAAAAAUGAAUGCAACCCUUGCCUUUGAAAAAAACUACUAAAAAGUGUAUAUAUUUUAUCAUGUGCAUAAAAGAAAGAGGUAUGUGAACUAAAGUGUAGUGUAGGUAUAUUUAAAAAAGUGCAACUUAGACGACACUAAUGCAAGCUAAGUUGUAACUAUUUAAAAAUAUCUAUGAAUAUUUUUUUAGAUUACUACAUUAAUGAUAAUAUUAUUAAAAUUAGUAGCAUCGAUAAAUAUAGCAAAAUGAACAAAAUACUUAUAAACUGUAGCUAUCAAUGAUAGUAUUAGUAUCUAUCAAUGACAUUGAUAAAUAUUAUUAAAAGUAUAUUAGUGUCGGUCAAUGUCAAUUAUUGAUAAAAUCUAAAAUUUUAUUAUGUUUUAUUUUUUAUUUGGUUAAGUUGAUAUAAUAAAAAAAUUUAGAGUUGAAAUUAGUAAACUCCAAAGUUAAUGGUAAAUUGAUAUAUGUGGAAUUAUGUAAUUCAAUAAUUAUUCUUUAAGGAAGGAGUUUAGAGAGAGAGAAAAAGUCAAAGUGAAGAUUGAAAGAGACAAUUAUGUUAGGACUUUAUUCUUACAAAGUCAUGCCUUUUUGUUUGAAAAUAAUUAACCCCGCAAAGCUACUUUUGAAAAGCUAACCUUACUCCUUCCUUCUUAACCAAAAUCACCUAUAUACAUAUUUUCAAAUAACAUUCAUAGUUACAUAUCCUUAAGUACAAAUUGAAGAAAUAUAAACUUAUGCUGACAUUAAAGUGUGCAAUAAUUGAACUAGGUAGAAGUUAAAAACCAUAUUCAAAUUGGUUUUAGAUUUGAAUUAAUAGUGAAUAAAAAAAAAUGGAAGCAAAGCAUUUAAUAUAUAUAUUUGUAAUAGCAAUAAUGUAUUUAUUUGUUUGCCUUAGGUUCUCAAAAUAAUAAAUAAUAAAUAAUAAAUAAAGGUACACGCGCCCUGAAGGGAAAUUCCAACGAAGCUGAACGCGAAGCCAGCUGUUCCUAUAAAUACCAUUCCCUCAACGCUCUUUUUCCAUUCUCUUAACCAUUCAUUUUCUCUCUCUACCUCUACCUCUACCCUCUCUUCUCCAUUUUUAUGGCCUUCCUUUGGGACGUCUUCUGAUUCUUCCUCAAUCGCUAACCCUCCAUCUCUCUCUCACAAAGACAUCCCCUUUCUCCCUUCGUAUUCCUAUUCCGAUCGUUGCACGGAUUGUUUCUCCAUUAUUAUUAUUGUUAUUCCCUUUCCCUUGGCGUUUCUCCAUGGGGAAGUUGGUCGAGAUUCUUGAUGCAGGUGCUAGGAUUGUCGCCAGAUUUCAUUCCCAUUGCCCUCAGACUGGCCGGAUGUACUACCAUCCUCCCGCUAACUCCGACGACGGCCAUCACUCUGAAGAGUUUCGCCUCGGCGGCGGCGUCGGCGAUGGCGAUGCGGCGUCUCAUCAGAUUGUUCCUUGCGUUGCCGAGCCCACGGCUGCUGCUGCUGCUGCUGUCUUAGUCGUCACCGUUGAGAGUAAUGAGUUCAUUCUUUACUCUGUUUGAUUGUGAUUGUUUGAAUGGAGAAGUUGUGGAAUGUUUGUGUGAGAAUUUUCUCUCCCAUCGUGAUAUGAAAAAAUUUGGAAAAAAUAGUUAUAGAUUUGUCUCUUUUUAUAUGCUUAUUGUUGAUGACAUUAUUUUGUUCGAGACGAGCAUCGAUCGUAUUCUGAUUCUUUGGAUGAUUGAUGAUUGACGGAAUUUGAAAUUGGUGCUUUUACAAAUGUACUAACCCAGUGUUCUUGCUAUUGACUUAUGAAUUGAUUGAAAAAUUUCUGUCCCAAGAACUUAGGCGAGAAUUUGUGGGGGAAAAUGUUCUUUUCUUUUGGUAAUAGCUUGUAAAAGAAAAGAAUCUGAAGCUAAUCAAACUUUCCAUUUCUUUCCCUUUCUUAUUUGUUUGGUUGUUAUUAAUUUUUGACAUAGAAAUACAGUAAAACACGACUUUGCAUUCAAAGCUCCAAAUUACAUUCAUGAAUGGCACUUUGAACAAAGGAAAGAAAAGUUAACUUUUUGCAUUUUAAUUCCUUUGGAAUAUGGUUACCAUCUAUGUUCAGUUUUGUUUCCAUUUAACAUUAUUUUAUCUACAAAAUAAAAUUAUAUAAUCCAAAUAUUUGAUUUUGAUUAGUCAAAAUAGAACCUUUGACAAAAUAAAAUUUUAUAAAUGAUUAGUAUAUUUCUUUUGUUUUCAUAAUAAUUUUUGAGAAAAUAUAAUUUUAGGUUCAGUGUUAAUUUCUAUUAUUUAA
rnacentral:lncRNA from 1 species